UAAAAAAAAAAAAGUUUGAAUUUGAGAUCUUUCUUUUUUUUUUUAAAUUUUUCUUGUUUUUGCAUAGUCCAAUAGUAGAAUAUUGAUUAUCUAUUAGCAAAUAGCAAAAGAAUAGUAUUUAUUAUUAAUAUAUAUUUGCAGCUUAUUUGUUCCUAAUAUAUCUGUGAGUACCUCACGAGAGUCAUCUCAAGCUAAUGCUCAACUUUAAUUGGGAUAUGAUGAUGAUUUUGAUGAACAAAGUACUGAUGAUUUGGAUAUUGCAAAUAUGCAAUAUGAUAAUCCAAAAUAUCAUUUAAAAAUGUAGAUGGUAAGAUGAUCCUUAAUUAUAAAGCUCUUGGAUAAAACUACACUAACAUACCUUAUGCAAUUAUCUAUGAAUUUUUUGCAUGGUUUGUGAUCCCAUCUGUAUUCAUUUUUAACGCACUCCAUUAUCUGAAAAUUUAUGACCAAGUCAAACAUAAUAAACAAUUGACUAUUUUUAGACAAAGUGGAGUUUCUAAGAAUAGAAAAAUUCGAACGAACGGAGCCAUUGUGGUUUUAUCAUUUGAUAAGCAGAUUAACAACAAAUUUGAGAGGGUAAAGGAGACUCAAUUCAAUAAAAAAUAUUGAUAUUGGAAUUUUUUAUUUCCAAUACUGAAAUAGUCAAGGGAAGUAAUAGAAUAAUUGUUUUUGAAAUGUUUCAUGCAUGAUAUACGAUCUGUUGCUGUAAAACGCCUUUAUGCGCACAUAAUGACUUGCUUGAAAAGAUAUUCAGAAUUUUAGGGGUCAUUUUAUUACAUACAGUUGUAACUGCAUAUAAAUAUAAAUUCGGUGUUUGAUUUGACGUAUGUAAUGCAGUAGGGAUUGUAGGAGAAUGUUCAACUACAAUAAUUGGAACUAUACCCAAAUUAGCCACAGUUCCAACUACAGCAGUUGGUGAGAGUAACUUUAAACAAAAGGUAUAUUUAACUUAAUUAUUUUUUAAAUAAAUUUUUUUUUUCAUAUUGGAGAAAAUCUCACCAUCAUAUAUACAUAUAUAAUGAUAAAAUUUUAAAAAUUAUUUCUCAACUGCAUGCAACCAAACAAACUAUUUAUAGUUGCAGCGCUUUCUACUACAUCAAACAAAAUAUGAUACAUACAGCUGUUGUAUAUAUUUUCAAUUGCAUGUAUUUCUAAUUACACUGCAUAUGUAAUUACAUAAAAUCAAACAACCCCUUAACUAUAUCUAUAAAAAUAAAUAAUAUAUUUAAAUUUUAAAGUUAAAAUAUCGUUAACUAAUCUAAAACAAACAAAUUGAAAUGUUGGACAGUAAAUCUAAAAUAGUCAAUAGUUCAAGUAUUAUAUAUUUUUACCUUCUUCUUCAAGAGCAAAUUAGGCUAAUUCUCUAGUGUCCUCAUAUUUUAAGGGAUGCAUGCACAAUAAUAUUGUCACUUAGUCCAAAAUAUUAUAGCACAGUUAUUAGUUAUGUAAAAACCCAGCCUUACAUAUCCAUGCACCAUGGGCUCAACAUCCAAUGUGGGACUAUUCCAAGUCCUGGAGUGUUACAUUAGGAGUGUGAUCAAAAUUUUAGAACGAAUAUUAUUUUCACCCUUAAUUCAUUUUUUUCAGAAUAAGAUAAGUCACUUGAUAGGUGAAAUAUGUUAUCCAAUCAAAUAAUGUAUAGCAAGAUCUUUUAAGAAAAAAAAAAUUAAACUUCCCACUCAAUAUCAUACUAGAAAUUUUUUAUACCGAAUAAGUGACAUCCAAACAGAACCUAAUUAUUUUUAGUAAUAUCUUAUACAAAUAUAAAAACUUUAAAGCUUGUGAUAAACAAAAAAGAGAUCCCAAAGAUUACAAGAAAAAACUUUAAUUUAAAAUUUCUGACAAUGCUAGGAGGAGAACCUAUCGGGAGUCCAGUAUUAUUGAAACAACACUUUAUCAAACAACUGUGCCCUAUAUUUGGGCCAAACACGACAUGUGUGUUUACCUCAAAAUUUGGAGAUGUCGACUUACUUGAGACAGUAAGAUUCAAAUGCUAUAAAAAAAUAUAGAGAGAUAAUUAAGACAUGGAGAGAAGAGCAAAUGUGUUUUUGGUAAUUUAGCCAAUAUUUUCUUGGCUAUAUAUUAUAUGCUUAAUUCACAACAUGGAUAAUAACAAAUGGGGCCAAAUUAUAUGCUUAAUUCACUACAUGGAUAAUAAUGAAGCAAAUGGGAACACUAUAAUAUAGAGAGCAUCUAAUACCACCCUUCAUAAGUUGUCUAUGUUUGAUGUUACACUGCCGAAAGUAGGCAAAAUCAUGCUAUUCCCCACAAAAAAAAAAAGAAAAAAAAGUUUGGUAGAAUCAUGUCCAUUGCAUCUAUACAAUAAUGACUUUUGGAAUAGUUUCUUCCAAAAAAUAGCUUUUAGGUGUUUGAAAAAUAAAUAGUUGAAAAUUUUUGCUGUAAUAAGAAGCUAAAGAAAUUUUUCAACCCAAGAAGACAGGCAAACUUCUGCUUUAGCUACCACGAAAAGUUGCUACAAGUAUUUCAACAAGGAAAAAAAAAUAUUCAUGUCCUUUCAAAUAACGCUGCUAAAACUUUUGUAGAUACUCAAACCGUCUACAGACACACUAAUAAGUGUUAUCGAGAAUGUGACUAGCAAAAUGCUAAAUUGCCAUGGUUCAUGUACAACUUUUUUUUUUUUCCACCAUGGCUAAGAUUUCAAACAUUUGUGUUCGCAGAUUCUGAACUUAUUUCAAGAUAAUCAUAAACAAAGUGCAUCAAAAUAGAUGCCUCUUAUUCCACAAGCUUCUAUCAUUUGAUGUUUUCAUAUUGGGCACUUACAUUAUCCCACCACUUUGUAUUAUGUCACAAUAGGUUGUGGGAUGCAACAAAGAAACCACUAGAUUACAAGAAUAAUAUUAACUAAGAGAAAGGAUAAAACACAUUAGACAAAGAGGGACCACUUAAUUGCAGAUAAUAUAUGGGGGUACAUUUGUAAAUAUGUAUGUAUCUAUCUUAACACACUUCUACUAUAAACCUAAUACUUAAUCUUUGAUCAUAGAACAAAUCAAUCACUCUCCCUUCCAAACACUCCAUAUCCUCAAAUAAUUAUUUUCCUUUUUUGUUUCUCUUUGAACUUUGUUUCCAUGGCUAUUAGAUGCUCCACCCCAAGUGCUUUCACCCCAAGAAAGGAUUCAAAAACUAUGAUCAAAGCAUUCAAGCUCCACAGUGUUCAUACACAACGCAAUAAAGCAAAUGAUUCGAUCAAACAUUUUGCAGUGACUAACAAGGUAUGCUUCUUUUUCCUAUUCUAUGUGUGUUUGUUAAUAGCAGAAAAGAGAUGUUAUUAUGAUUCGAACAAAAAAAAAAAAAAGAGAUAAAAAUCAUAAAAUAGAAGUUCUAAAUAAUUCGAUGCCUGUAACAGGUUUUCGAAAACCAACAGAUGGGAAUAGUAUGCUACAGAGACAAGCACGGGGAAGUAAUUUGCGAAGGAUUCGACGAAGGUCCUCGAUUAAGCAGAGAAAAUUCAGGAGGAGAUAAUCAUCAAAGGUAAAACAACAUUCGAAUAUUAUAAAAGUAGAUGCAACAAUCAAUCGAUUUUAGGGACAUAAUGUAACUUUAAUUUUGUUUUCUUUUCGCACUGGGGAUGCUCAACCUUUGAGAGUGGUUUCAGUUUGAUCCGCGACCAUUUAAUUGUUACAGAUACAAUUGAGUUCCUCACCCCCACAUUUCAUAAUAUUAUCCUUUUGGUUAAAAUUUGUUUUUGCAAAAUGGAUAGAAAUAUGAACAUAAUAUUUCCAUCCAAUUUGAUUAAGAAUCUUUCUGAACAUGAUACAUGAUACAGUUGCAAUGAAAUGAGAAGGCGAAGGGACCGAACUGUAAAAAUUGAAAGAUUGAGAACAAAACCAAAACCUCUGAAAAAAGGCAAGGGAUAUUCAAUUUAAUUGGCCCUUUUUCUUUUUUUGCUUUUGAUGGAUCGGAGAGCCUCAGAUUUCAGAAUGCCAGAUGGAGAAAUUGCCUCAAAUAUUAGACGCCGAUUUUCAAUCUACACAGAGUGCAGCUGUCCAAAGGAAGAAUUAAAAACUCCAAAUAUUUAAAUUUGAAUUACUAUGUGUUGUAUGUGAAUAGCCCAAGUUGUCUCUAGUAAUAUAAUGAGAGCAAAAAGGUUAUAUGUUUUUCCUAAUCAUUGUAUGAAACUGAUCAUUUCUCAUGUCAUAAAGUGUAUGCAAGGUUUUGUAGAAUAUCUACAAAAUAAAAGCCAAUUUCACAUGAAAAAUAUGUUGAUUCAUUGUUUCCAAGCAUAAACUAGAUUAAAAUAUGCACAAAUGUCAUGUGUGUUGCAAAUUAUUGAAAACAACUGACAGCCAAAUAUGUUUGGAAGAUAUUGCUGGCUCCAAAUGAAUUUGUAUCAAAUUUUCCGAAGUUCAUGAAACAAAUGUUGAAUUUCAAAAGGAUUUGGUGACUACAGCAAAAAGAAAAAAAAAGAAAAAGAAUCAUUUACCUUGCUCAAUCAGCUUAUAAGCAACUGUAAGAAGCUGAAUUUUGAUUAUUUGAAGUUCAUACCACAUAAUUACUACACUUUAUUCAUGAUAUAAAUUUCCAUGUGUAUGUAUGGCAUUUAGUUAACACUAUUCUUAUGCUUUAAACAUACAUAAAUAGGAUUUCUCAACCUUCAAAAUUGAGAUACAUAUAAAGGAGGGCAAAAAGAAUGGAAAGAUAGGGCUAUGAAACAAAAUUGAAAGAAUGAAAGAGAAAUUGAAGAGGAAAAAAAGAGCUAUAUGAAGAAAGCCCCUAAAAUGUGGGCCUUUCCAUAAAUAUCAAAAAUUUACAGAAGCAUCUUACGAUGUUAUGGCAGUGUCCUCCUCAUUAUCUCGGUCACUUUUAGUCUCUGAUUUGCUAGGUAAGAUUGACGGAGGCGACCACUGAUCCGGGACCACGAGAAAAUAUGCCGACAUGGCUUUUCUGAACCGUUUUUUGUACUGUUUUGGAGAAAUUACAGUUGGGGAGACAUUUUUGGGGCCUCCUAAAAUACCAGAAGCUUUGACCCAUGUUUCGAGAUGCUUGUCCCAUGUAUAUUGUCUCAUAAAAUCGAUGAUUCCUAACACAAGUUCGUGCUUCUCAUCGUCGACUCCAACCAGUAGAGAGUAAUCCAUUACGUCGACCGACUGCAAUAGCAAUUGGCACAAAAAAUAAAAAGAAUAUUAGAGACAUAAAAAGAUUAUGAACCGUUAUUUUUAAUUUGCAACCUUCCAGAAUUAUCAAUUUAUGUAAAUAUCCCUGCGAAGUAUAAAUUUACUUUCAGAAGUUUAAUUUCUUAGAUAUGUACCAAUGGCCCACUAUUACUUUGUUGAUUCCCCAACUUAAGAUAAGGGUAUUUUUGUAAGACGUUAGACCAUUGAGGGCAAUAUGCAAAUAUUCAGAGCUUUUUGAAGUUUUGUAAAUAUCCAGACUUUAUAAAGGCAUAUACAUCGAUAUAUGAUUUUACGGAAAAACAAAUGUAAAGACUCAUUUUAAAAUUUAAAUGCAGUACAACUCCGCUCCUACAGAAACACAUAUUAAGUAUUGUGCCAACAGAUAGCUGAGCAGAAACAUCAAAGAAGCAAUGUCAUUUAAGAAAUUUUGCUGAGUCUGACAGAGUGACUAGUUUAUGACGGAGAAAAUCAAUUCUUACUGCAAGGAAUGCUGUGUCGUUCCAAACAGCUCUCUCCAGAAGCCGUUUUGCCUUGUUCCCUACAAAGAUCGGGGAAGUAGGCAUUGAUUCUAUCAAGUUCUGAUCGAGAAGGACUUUGUUGUUACCGCUUGAGUCGGGAUUAUAUCGUGACCUCGAAGAGCCCUUUAAGUCGUAGAGCCUCGUCACGUGCCGCCCAAACAAAAGGUUUUCCAUAACCAGAACGUCCAUUCUCGAUUCUUUCCCACCUUUCAUGUUUUUGGACGUUACCUGGAAUGAUGAAAACAAGAAAAUGGGUUAUGACUUUGUCAACUUGAAGAUGCACAUUUUAGCGCAAUAGAGUUAUUGAAAAUGUGAGAAGAAAACAGUCAGAAAAAUGAAACAGGAACACAAUAAAUAAAUUAUUUGGUCGGAAACGUGAAUUGUGCAUAUACUUGUUCUGAUGCAAACUAUUAAAAUGCCCUUUUUCAUGGAAAUUUAUAGGAGUCAGGGAAAUCAAGUUAUACAGCAUUUCAGCUACUAAGUACGAAGAAGUAACUUUUUCCUAUAUCAUGUUGGUGUCCUUUGUUUUCAACUGUAAUGAUCUACUUUUCCUAUAAAUUCUAACUUAAGAUGACACGCUUACUUCUUAGAUAGAAAAUUUUGUGCUAUAUUAAAUUAAUUUCCACUCUAUAAGUGAACUCGAUAAUAGUUUGAGGUAAUGCAGCAACCUUGACAAAAUCAAGGCCUAUUCAAUGUUGAAGAAUUAGUAUAUCGCAAAGCAUUAUUGUCAUCAACUUAGACAUGUUCUGGGGGUAAACAGAAUGUAAUUAGUUUAUCUAGAGUUAUUCUACACCAUUAAUCAAAAAGAAUCUUCAAACAUCAAAACACUAAUCGACAAAGGUAUGAAACAAAUUGAGAAAGCAGUUUGGUAGAUGAAAAUUCUAAAAGCAUAUGCUACCUGAUAUAUUCCGACAAUCUUUGCCAAGCAUGUAGGACUCCCCGUACCAAUCGACUCGGAGAGGUACUUAAAAUACUCAGGACCAAACUUAAUAAAAGAUUCUAAUUCCGUUUUUGUGACCUGCUUUAUGAUAAACCUAUCAUCCAAAGAUUUCGCAAAGAACACAUUGCUCUUCCCACCCUGAGCUCCCCAUUUCUUGCAACGACUGAGAGACCUAAUAAAAUCAACCUCAGAUGGACAACAAGUCCUCCUCAAAUUGUCAAAGUGCUUCGCGUAGUAACAAGUCACACUAUGCUUUACCUUCCCGUGAAUUCCUUCGUCCAUAAAAGAAACCCGAACAUGCAUUGCUUUUGUGUAUCCUAGUAGGUCCGAUCCUACAGAGCCCUCUAUGGUCCCGAAACUUCUGGAAGAUUCAGAGAGCUCGUCAACUGAUUGUGAUUGAAGAAAAUUCCCCAAAUCAUUACUUGCCACAGAUAAUAAAGCAUCGGCCCCGUCUUUCAUUCUAUCCCUCUCAUCCGAUAAUUGAAUAUGGUAUUCAUGAGAGGACAGCGCAUAAGAAAUUAUACUACUUGGCUCAUCAUCAUAGAUUGCAAUAAUGGUAUCAUUGACUCCUACAGGAAGAAGAAAUCUUGGCCCAUUUUUGUGUUCUAACUCCUGGAAAAAGGAAAAAUACACAGGAGUGUAUUUACUGAGAGCAUUAAACCUGAGAGUACCCAAAUUCUUGUUCAACAAACGAUUAAAAUGAAAAAAUGGCAUCCCAAUCCAACUAGAGAAGUCCUCUGCACUGUCUCCCAGCUUGGAAAGCAAAACAGAGGUGAACGACUGAGUCAAUUCAGUACCACUUUGUUCUUCUAAAUUCUCUGAAAGUGAUUUCCCAGCAGCUGCAGCAUCUCCAGACAACGAAGAAUCCAAAAUAAUCGCAUCGGCCAGAGUUAUGUUACUUUCACCUGUCCAUUUCGCAUCGAAGGCAUCGGAUAAAUUUGCCAUAAUUGGAAAGUUCCCAUCUGAGAGGGUUCGCCGAGCUGGGAGAACAGAUACUAAAGGAACUGAUUGCUCGCCCACACUAACACUAGUAGCGAGGCUAUUUUUCCUUUCUAUUCCUUGUAAAGAAUCGAAUUCUGUCACUUUCGACCAAAUUACAUCACGAUGAUUAUUAUCAUUAUUAUCCUCAGUUUUCUUACUCUCAAAAAUAACAUCAUCACCAUUAAGACAAUUUUGUGUUUCUCUUGCAAUAUUUGUCUCUACUAGUUUCUCGGCAUUCCCCAUUUUGUCCUUAUCUCUGUGAGGAAAAUUACUCAGCGUAUCCUGAAGACUAUUGUUAAUUCUGGCGGAGAAUAUUAAUCGUUGAUCCCAUAAAUAUGAAUGGAAGAAUAACUGCCUCCUUAACUUAUUAACCUCCAGAAUGUCGAUGACUGGUUCCCCCUCCUCCUUUUUCAGUAUUGCGUGCAUUGAAUCCUAAGAAUGAAGGAGAAUUAUCAGGAGAGAUGAGGGUCCAAAAUUGGAAAAGCCAUAUUGAGGAAAACAGUAUAAGUCUCUUCCAAUUUUACAAUUUCAGUUAAUACAUAUGUCUUUUGCAAGUUUAGACUAAAAUAAGGAGUAUCAUUUCAUGGUUCGAAAUGCGCAUGUUGAUAAGUAUGGUGCCAUGGUAGAUUCUUCGGAAUGUUAGUUACGAGUAUUCCAGUCUGUGAAAUGAGGUUUUAACUGAAAGUUGCAAGCAUUUAAAGAAAAAAAAAAGAAGUGGGGAAGAAAUUGCAAAUACAUGAAAAGUAGAUUUCUUUGCAAACUCCCAGAAGGAAUAGAAGGAGAGAAAAAUGAAAGUGACACAAACCUCAAAUUCUGCCUUCUCCUUUCGGAGCAAUUCUUCCAGUUCAACAACAUGCUGCCUAAAUUCUGUAACUUCUGAGCCACCAUUGAGAGUCUGUUUUUCCACAACUUGGCACAGAGCAUUUUGUAUUUCAUUGAAAAGAAGUUUUGCCCUAUCAGCAACCUGUUAUAAUUAGUCGAAAUAGUUAAUCUACGGAGGAUUACAGAAAAAGUGAUACAGUAUUUACACCUGUAACCAUAGAGGCAUAGACGUUUCUAGUGAAUGUGAUCUACUUUCAUUAUGAGGUUUCUUGCUAAAAGAGGCACCUUCUUCAUGAGUUUACAACUUUGGUCCAUUUCUUUUUGUUUUUGCAAACUUUAUGGCCAGAUUUAAUGCCGCUGGUCGACAAUGUGAUGAAUUUAUGUAUUCACUAUCUCGGUGAGGGACAUUUCGACCCAUGAAAAUAUAUUUCAGACCAAAGAUCCAAAAUGAAAAAAAAAAAAGAAGGGACAGAAUUGCAAAAUCAAAAUCUCAGACUAUCUUGGCAUUAUUUUAGGCAAUGUACCUCAUUUGCUUCUUUCUCUAUCCACUCCUGAUGCUGAUAAUUAAAAUCAAGUUUAUGAGGUGGAAGAUAAACAGAAUGAACAUUGAUAGGUGCAUAACGGAAGCAUGCGACCAUUUUCCCAAACCUGAUCAUGCAAGAACGGAAAUAUUAGAGAAGAACAUACAUGCAUACCCUGUAAAAUUAGCAUCGACACAUACCAGUAAAAUUGAUGAAUUGUAUAUGAAAAUUCCAAUAUUACCGGGGUCAUAUAUAAACAAUAAUUUUAGACGUGAAAGUCUCUAUCAAAAUACUAUAUCCUGGGAGGAAAAUUGAACACAGGAAGUCUCAUUGUGAAAAGUAAUACCCAUAGAAUCGGAGGCAGUCUCUGUGAAGAGAAUGGCCGCAGCUAGCUACCCUACUUGCUGCAGCAUGAUUUGAAAAGCUAAGCUCCAAGAAUUUACCAAAAGACAAACCCCAAGCAGCAUCGGACAUAACUACCCUUCGGGUUGCUGGGGGAAAUCCAUUACUACGACGACAUCGUAAACACCUGUGCCACAUCCAGAUUUUUCCAUCUCGUUCUCCUGGCAAUGGAAAAUCUGGAAGCUUCCUAACUGAUAUUGUCAGGCUGCCUUGGUGAUGUGUGUAGCAAUGAACGUGGGCUUCUGAUGGCAUUUCACAUGAAUGGCACCGAUAACUCUAACAUGGAAAAGUAGCUAGCGUCAGUCGGAAAAAAGCAGGUAAGUGCCUGUUUGGCCUAGCUUUUGAGGUUGCUUUUCUACCCCCAAAACAGGAGUUUCUAGAAACUAUUUGGAAACAAAACAUUUGGAGAUUUUAUUGUGGCAAGAACAUGUAAUUAGCUUUUGAAUAUAAAAGUAGGAGCUCCAAUUUGAAGUUUCUACUUCUACUCCAGUGAGAAGCUGAUGUUAGAGAUUCUUCAAAAAGCUCUAAUGAAAUAGCAAUUCUGCAGAAGCUCUAGAUGACAAACUGGCCUUAGAUGGGUACGAAAAAUUUGAAGGGAAAAAAAAUGAUAACCUGAUCAAACAGAUGAUCACGCAAAAAUCUCCCCAAAGGCUUGUCAAAGUUGCCAUAGUACUUAAUUCGAAAGAGUUGUAAACGUUCGCAGACCGUCCCCUUCCACACACAUCGUGUGGAUGAGGAAACCAAAAUGCUCUGAUGAUCGGAAGGCGGCUGGAUCUCUUCCUUUAUGGAUUUUUCAUGCCUUUGAUCAACUUCUUGCCUUGAAGUUGGUGAAUUGGUCAAUUCAACUUGCUCCUCUGCCACACGGUCGCUCUCUAGAUGCGUUCCAUUGAUCAAAUUGCCUCCAUUCUCUUGAGAAUCUCCAAAUCUUAAUUUACUUUUCUCUUUAAUGACCUGAGAUUCAGGGGAGGACUUGGAGACUAACCCUAAUGUACAAGAAGAAGAUAUAGAUGGUGUAUUUUGAGGUCCCACAACACACUCAUUAGAAGAUUCUUUAAUAUUGGAGCUACAGUUUCCAGAGGAUAACUGUGAUUUUCCCAUUAUAUUAGCAGACUUUGAUGCUGAGGAGUUAUUUGAUGAAUUGGGUAUUUGAGAACUACUUUCCUGAAUUUCCUUAGUAGGGAUAGUGAAAUCAGGUAUAGUGGAGAUGGAUCUGUCAAUGCUCGAAGGCUUAUCAGGUAGUGCAACGGCUAUUGGAGAUUUCAAUGGAAGUUCUGGUAAAGAGGCACCUUCAUCAGCAAGAAACGAUGUUUCCAAAGCCAAGUGAUAAGCCGCAAAAAUCCCAUACUGGACUAUAUGUUUGACUUUUUUCAGCUCGUUGAUGUUACCGCCCCUAAGUAAAACCUAAAAUAACCAAAUGCAUAACAUUGUGUAAAAUUGCUGAAGGAUCAAUCAACUGGAAAAAAAAAAUCAAAAUAAAUGAAGAAAAAAAAGUGGGAAAAUAUGAAAUUAGCUCCAGAAGCUGCACCAAGUAGUGUGUGAAUAAGAAAAAUUAAAAAACAAUGGCUGUGAAAUGCAAUCUUUUGAAAAUAAUUAUUCGAUUUUCAUGUCAAGAAUCUUCAAGGAGUCAUAGCCAAAACCCGUAAAAAUUCAGAGACAAGUCACCAUGCUGACAUGAAAUAGAAAAUUCUUAAAAGUUCAACAAACAGUGCAGAUGACAAGAUAAAGCAGUUUCAUUUCCUUUUUCCCAGAGAAGAUGGAGUAUAUUAUUUUCACCUUGUAAAUACAUGGCAAUCUCAGUAAUUUUCUCACAUAAGGAUAAAUUGUGAACAUAAAAACAAAGAACUGAUUGAACUAAACAGACUAUUAUUCAUUUUGAAAGUUCUUGAGAUUAACCUCCAAAACACAAUUGGUACUUCUACACAAAUUUCCCAGCAAUUAUCUCUUCACAUAUAUCCCUGUAAAAUCUGUCUUUUCAUAUAUACCCCUCUAAGUCACAAUGUCUGGCAGGAAAAAGAAAACAUUAUCCAUCAAGUAGGUUUGUAGAAAGAGGUACUCAGAAGAGGGCCUUUUGUAACUAAACGGGCGUAUGUCUGACAAAAUUCAGUUUUUGAAGAGCAAAUAUGACAGUUCAGAUGUUGCAGAUUACACACAAGCGUAUAUAUUAGGUAGGAAGAAUCAUAGCAGCAGAGGAUAACAUAUUGAUCACUUACCGUGCAACCCAACGGUUUAGGACAUCCUUCGAAAAACAUCAAAGUCUUCAGUGUUUUCUUGGGUCCUUGACCUCCAAUCUCAUGAUGCUCGGCAAAUUUAUCCACAUGAAACAACUCGCAGUGCCCUAGCUUCUGAGUUGAUAGAUGAUCAAUAGAAGGAACUAUCUGAGCACCAGUGCAUCGAGCUAUACGCUCCAAUAUGGGCCUUUUGAUAUUCAAAACAAGUGAAAUAUUCUUUUCAAGAAGUAAAUCCUGGGCGAAGCGAGACACUGUUUUCUCUACAAGAAGUAUGUCAGGUUGGUAAGCAGCUAUCUUUGCAACUGCCAUUUUCAAAUGAUCCAUUUCCUGGAAAACCAUGCAUAGUGUCCUAAGUAAGCCAAUAAAGUAAGCGCAAGAUCAUCUAUGACUUGUUUGGGCUGGCUUGAGCUUCUGCAGAAGUGCUGUUGAGUACAGCUAUUGCGAAGAUUACAAAAUUUUCACAACUAAAUAACAAAAGACACCCACAUAUUUUUCCCCCGUCUACAUAAACUGGUACUUUAUUGAACAAUUCAUCAAACUCAUUACAUUUUUUUCUUUUUUUUCCAAUAACUACAACUCAUGUCAUCUACUACCUUGUUUUCCUGCUGUUUUGCCUCCAUGAACAAUGAUUAUCCUAAAUUUUUGGGUGUACUAGAGACAAGUAAAAUGCAAGAUUGGAUUUGAAAGAGGAGAUAAUGGGGAUAGAGUCAAAACUGUAAGGUUGGUUUCUUGCAUCUUGAUAUCCUUUCCAAAAGUUUUCUACUGCAGCAGAAGCAGAAGCUUCAAAUUCAAGCUUUUACUUUUGGCAUUUAGAAGGUCAUUUCGGCUUCUUUCCAUGGGAAAAGCUUCAGAUAUCUUUUGUGUGCCAAAUGUUUAGUUAUAGCAUUUCCAAGUAGAGAAGCAUUUCACAAAGCCAGGCCAAACUAACACUAAAAAAGCGGAUGAUAGGUCAAAAUACCUGUUGGAGCAAAGUAUCAAAACUAGAGAGAAGAUUUGUCACACGUUGGUACUCAAGAGCUCCUCCAAGAACUAGAAACCGAGGUUUCCCUAUCCUUGAUGCCAUACGUCGAUUAGCCAUAUUCUUCUUACAUACAACACCUUUCACAAUCAUGCUAAGGCAAGAAAAAUUAGCAAAUAUGAGAUAUGCAGCCGGAUUGAUUUUAUAUGCAACUAAUUGAAAAAAAAAAUAAACAUGGAAAACAAUAGAGCAUCAUCCAAUCGACUUCGAACUUUAACGAGGACAAACCAAAUCAGGAUUUAGAACAGAACCUAAUUCUACUUCUUUUUCUUACAGAAAAAAGGCGAUGAAAAUUGAAAUGUAUGAAACCACUCUACUAUUGUGAUUUUUACAUUCCCACCCCAAAAAUUUUAAACCUAAUUUUACCCCCAUUAAUUUAUGAACAGGGUGUUAGAUAUUUAUUGGUACACCAAUCAUGAAGAGGAAGUGUUGAUAUCUUGCACUUUGAAAAUAGACCAAACAAUUUUAACAAGUAAAUUAACAUAAAGAAAAAACUUACCUUUCAUUGCGUUGUCCACAAGCUAAGCACUUGACUUUAACAUAACCGCCAGGAUCCAUUCCGCCACCCGUACUCAUAUCUGGCUUGAGGAAAUUUGCAGCUUCCCAGGAUAAAGACGAGAUAAUCUCCAACCAACUUCCCUUCUCAUCUUCUUCACCGAUGGACAUGUUCUCAACUUGUAAUAAUUGAGCUAUCAAAGCCCUAAAAUGCCCAUAUACAACAUUUUUCAUCGCCUUCGUAUUUUCUUCGCUAGAUCGAUCUCGAUCACUAAUUUCUUCACUGCCAAAGCUAUUUGCUGGACAAAGACGACCCCACUCUCCUGCAUUAUCGUCAUUAUCAUCAUCGUCAGAUAGAAUAACUUCUCUCUCAUCUUCUUCAUCUUCCGGCUCGGGAGGAAGCCAUAUAAGUCCAUUAUUCUCAUAGUCAAUAGGCUCCAGAUCCGGACAUUCCGCUCCAUAUAUGGAAGAGGAAGCAUCACAAGAGUAGUUAUUAACGGAUUCAACUUCAUCCUCAAACUUGUUGUCAUCAGCUAGAGGGCUGCUAAAUUCUGUGUCAUUUAAUGGAGAGGAAAUCUCAUUGGAGACUAUAUUUUCCUCAGAACUAUGCUUUAUGAUAGUCUCGUAACAUGGGUCGAGGUCAUAAAAUUCCACUUGAUUAUAGUAGUCAUUAACUUGCUGGAAAUACCGUGCUUCGAAAUCAGAAUUGUACACUUCACACUCUCCAUAAUUAUCAUCAUAUUCACUCCUGCAUUGAAAUGAAAAAUGAAGCACAGUAAAUUAACUCAUCUUUUCCUUGUUGUACAAUAAUAUUCACAACAUUCAUUUUGCAUGAAUAUACAUCUUAAAUGUAUAAAAAUCCAAAAACAAGCAUAGAAACACUGUUAACAUGCUUUACACCAAUAGACAAGUUUGCAAUUGCACAAACUUCAAAACCAUUCUUUUAGAAACUAAACAAAAAGAACAUCACUUUAUCUUAUGUUUUAAGAGUCAACAUGGGACCGUUGGAUUCUCUGCACAAGAGUUGUUUAAAUAAUGUAGUCUGAAGAAGAGCUAACAGCUUCUUUCACUACAGUCCCCACAAUAACCUGUCACUACAGCAGGAGAAGCAGAAGCUUCAAAUCGCAAAAGCUAAUUUUAGCUUCCUAGCGUAAAAAAAGCUCGAGAUUUCUCGCAAUUACCACAAUGACAUAGCAAGUUUAAGACAUACCUGUUCAUGCAAUAGACGAAUUGAUCCAAAGAGGUAGAAUCUUUUCCCUCAAUGGCAACCUGCUUACCGAGACAAUGUUUGACCUCACAAGAUAGAUCAGGACUAGAGCCAGAAAUGUGUGGCACAUUCUCAUAACCUCUAAUUAAGUGAGACCCAAGAAUGGUGCUAGGGCCGGUGGACUUUGUACUAUCCAAACUCAAUGCAGAAAGUGAAGGACUAACACAAUCCACAAUUCCCUUCUGAAUUGCCGACAUCUCUUGCUCCCAUCUCUUAAAGCAGAAGUUGCAAACCCUGAUCCUCUCCACCUCUUCCCUCCUACCCUUUGGAUCCUUAUAACACAAAACUGGGACAGAGUUUGCCGUGCACUUCCCGCAAAAAAUCCGCCCGCAGUGGCGGCAAUGGUGCCUCCGGUUGAAGAGAGUGAACUGGGCAUCGCACUCGUAGCAAACCCGGCAGCUGUGGUCGGGCAUCCAGAAGUCCGUCGACACAUUGGACGGUUCGGAUCGACGAGGCAUCCAUGACCUCAAUGUACUAAUUAAAACAGAGAAUGCUCUAUCAAGGCUUUCCAUCAAAGAUGGAGCCUUCAAAAAAAACACAUUACUUUAAAUUCCCAUCAUCUCCCUCACACCAAAUGAAGACGAUACAGCAAAAGCCCAAGCAAGAAUCAAAUUGCACCAAUUUGAGGUUGAGAAACUUGCACAAGGCGACAUUUUGAUGAACAUUAUACCAAAAUUUCUAGUAACCAGCAUCAUAUUUCCACCAAAUUACAAUUUUUAUCAACUCUUUUGGGCCAAUUUCCUUUGAUUUCACAUUCCACCAACUCAAUAAUAAAUGAUGAAUAUACCCAAAAAAUAAAAAAUAAGCACAUCAUUCAUAUAGACCCAGCAUCAAACAGUUGAUGUGCAUGAACAAAACCCAAAUUACCUUCCGUUCCGCCGAUUCGACCAAAAUCCGAACAAUUCGGCGAAAUUAGAACAAUCUCAAUUUGUGCCCAUUGAAGAAUCCCACAAUUUUCCUCCUUUUUUUUUCCCCCUUUUUUCUCUUUUUUUACGGAAAAAAUUAAGACCCUUGAAAUGAGAAUUUAGAACAGAAUAAGCGGAAAUAACGCUUAACGAUCCAACACCGGUAACGGUUCCUUUUCGUUCUCUUUUUCUCCAUUUUUUUCACACCGCUACUCUCUAAAGAAAAUAAUUACAACGUCAUCCCUACGAAAUAUUUUAUAAUUUUGGGACCAGAAUUAUACAUAUACAAAGAUCAGCACCCGGGAAAUUCAAGUUCUAUUUUAAAUUAAAUAAUGUUGGUUCAAACAUCCUAUGAUUCUCGAAACACUCUAAUAACUCAUUAAAAACUGUUUAAUUUAUACAUCCUCACUAAAAACUCAACAAUUAUAGGCAUAUUUUCAGAAUUUAACAAAUUUUGAGCACAAAGAGUGGUUUAAAAAUGUUAUGUGUCUAAACAUUGAGGGGUUUUUUGUCAUUUAAAAUUCUUCAUAAAGCAAAAUUAAAUGUUUGGUGUACCCGAAGUCAAAGUAGGUCAAACACGUGCUUCGAAUUUUAAAUUUUCUCUAUUUUUCUAAAUUUGAUAAUAUAGGAAAAAGAUUUUUUUUUUCUUUUUAACUCAGACUUUUUUGUUAAAUGCAUUAUUCCUAUCAGAUCAGGAUGAGAAUAAAAUAAUUUGAUCAAAUUUGACUUCUUUUAACUUUAAAUUUUCUCUAUUUUAUUGUGAUCUUUUUUUGUCGAGUGAGUAAUUUUGCAAAAUUUAUAAUCUUAUAAAAUUUUCAAAACCUUGUUAUUCGAACUUUUACGAUUUUAAUUUAUAUACCACCGAUAAUUUUACUGCAAAAGAAAAGUUUUUUGAAUGUAGAAUUUUUGAAUGUUUACAAUUUAGAUUCCUGCUCUAUUUAGUCUACAAUCUACUGAAAAAAUUUUCAACUGAAGAAUUAGAAACAUUAAAUAAAAUUGAAGCCUUGGCUUUUAGGACUUGAAACUUGGGAGUCUUUUGAUCUACAUUAUAUCAUCAAUUAAUAUGAGAGUUAGUUUAGUCUCAAUAGUAAUUCUCUUUUAAAUUUAACUAUUUUGAACACUUGUUGAGGGGCAUCCUAGCUAUCUUUAGAGGUGGUUGAGAGGACCAUUCAUUGCUUAGAAUAGAUUUACUCAAAAAAGUUGCUCACGAGUCACGAAUGAAUUUGAAAGAAAAAAAAAAAAAAAAGAAAAAUCCCCCUGAAGCAUAACAAUCAGCAGCUCGAGAAUUCAAACAAUUAGCAAAAUUAUUCACCUUUUCUCAAGUACAAAUUAUUUUACAAGUGAUUAAUUUAGAAUUUACACACUGCACAGAACAAUCACAUUAUCAGGAUAUAGGCUUUUUCAUGUUUUUCCACUAUUUCCAGCAGAUGAACUCAUCAUUAGAACACUUCCUCUAUAACUUGUAGCUCCAAGAUUGCAACCAAAUCCCUCUAAGGUUUCAGAAUUCGAUGAGAUAUCUGGAUCCUCGCUACCCCAAAGGACGAAUUCUGAAUUUUGUAGCAGAUUGCCCGAGGCGAUCCUCGCAUCUCUGAAGGGCGGGAGGCACUUCUCCUUUGCGAACUCAAUACAGGCUUCUUUGGACGCCGCGAGACAUAAAGCCAUCUCACGCUCUUCGCACCGCUCUCUAUCUGCAAAAUCUGCCGCUGAAUUCCCGAAUAGGAUCUUCCACCAUGGAGGCCUGCAUUUGUUGGAGGCAGUGAUUGAGCACCCAACUCGCGCACCAGCCUGUUGAAUGAGAGAUGAAAUUGAGUAAUACAAGAGUGUAAAUUUAUCGAAAUAAUCAAGAGUGUCGUAAGAAGUGAGAAAAAAAUGAUAAAAAUCAUGCAGUAAUUAGAAUUUACAAGUCAAUCGAACUCUCCUGCAUAUUGUGAUAAACUUGGAAGUAGGUCUAGGAGGGGUGGUGUUGCUACUGCAAGCUCCACUAUUCAAGAAUCAGGAUUACAAUUUUGAGCUCGUCCACAGACAUGCACACAUGCACGCAGGUCCGCCUGUUCGUGCAUGCAGGCUAGUGCGUGCGCAUGCGCGCACACAGCUAUGAGCUGUUUCAACAGAUUUAUACCAAAAACCCAAGUGUUUAUAUUUGAUUUUGAAACUUUGAACUUAAGGGUGAAAGAGCAACAUAGUACACGAGAGAAAAAGAGAGGGACUAGAAAAGAAACGGAGUUUUAAUUCAACAGAAGUAUGCAGCAGGUUUUAAACAAGAUCAUUCGUCAAACAGAGAAAAAAAUGAAUUUUUUUUUUAUAUAUAAUCCUAUCAAUUUUUACAAUUAUAAAAAUAAUCUUCUAAAAAAAAUAAUUAUAAAAAUAAAUUUAUAAAUGCGGUGAAUCAUUCACCGCUUUCAUAACUCUAUUNUAAAAAAAAUAAUUAUAAAAAUAAAUUUAUAAAUGCGGUGAAUCAUUCACCGCUUUCAUAACUCUAUUUAAAACAAAAGUUAUUUUAAAUGCGGUGAAUCAUUCACCGCUUUCAUAACUCUACUUAAAAUUAAAAGUUAUUUUAAAAGCGGUGAAUUAUUUACCGCUUUCUCUCUCCAUAAAAAAAAUUGACGAAUGCGGUGAACCAUUCACCACUUUCACCACCUACAGAGACUAUAUUUACAAAUAAAAUUUUAUCAUAUCUAAUUUUAAAAUAAAGUUUUUGAAGAAGACUAAAUUACUAAAAUCUCCGAAAAAAAAAAUCAAUUUAUCAAGUGAAUUAAGAUCUUAAAAUGCUUAGAUUUGCAUUAAUACCAACAUAGACAAAAAAAAAAAAAAAAAAAAAAAAAACGAAUCAAGAUCAUCUGUUAUUUGAUUUAGUAGGGUUGGAGCUAAGAAGAAGUAACUUCAGCAUACAAAUAAGAAUAGUCUCGUACUCUCCCUAUAUACACCUUCUUUUUAUUCAUUUUCCUGAUUGUUUUACAUAACAUGACAAAUCAAGAAAAACAGAGUAAUUUAAUGGAUUGUAGCGCACUUGUCAAACCCGACUACUAAUGCUCAGCAGCCGAGAGCUGGUUUUUGCGCUCUUUUCAUCUGUGCAGCUGAUAAACUUACUGACUGGCAAUACUAGAGCCACACAGCUCGGCCAGCUGCAGAAAUAAAAUUGAAACACAAAGAAUUUAAGGAAAGGAAAAUUCAAAAAGCUUAGUCCUCAUCCGAUGGUGUUUCUUUUUUUUUUUGCUCCUUUUUAAUAACAAUUCUAUGCGAUGGACAUGCGUUGGCGGAUGACGAGUUGCUCGUAAUCUACACAUCUGUAGGGUUUAAUUGGCACAUGAGACAGAAACAAUGUAGUACAUUUUCUCAUUCCGUGUGUUUCUUUCGAAGAACAUGCCCUUCCUCAUCCGGCCAAGGCACACUGCGAGCUAACAAACAAAGACAAGAUACAGAAGUUCAUGCGCCGAUGUCUCUGAUCAUACAAUUUGUGUUUAAAAGGAAAGCUUUUUCUUUUUUUUUAAAAAAAAAGGACCAAAAAACAACAAUGUUACUAAACUAGAGUUAUAGUCUAAGUGGGAAUGAAAAGGAUAUAGCAAGCACCGAACUUGUCAAUUAUAACAUGAACACAUGCAUCAAAAACUCAAAAAAAAAAAAAAAAUCUUCUUUUCUGUUUUUCUUUUUUCUGGAUAAAAUCACAAGAGCCCACCAAUUUUUCCCAUUGCAAUUUGGCACAAAUGAACCCACAAGCUAUACUCCGAUUGCAAAUUUGGGCAACAUAUCAUACAUGGUGAAAUCAAAAUAUAUAUAAAAGAACUCCCUGAUUACCUAACGUUACCAAGUUUAAUUUGAUGCAAAAAAAAAAAAAACAAAUUUGGCCCACAAAUUUUAAAUUGGCGUAUGGUUAGUGAGAUCCAUAGCAAGAAAUUGGAAGGGAGAAAAGGUUGGUGAGUUAACUUUGCAUCAGAUUAAAGACAAGCUAGUGGGUCAAAAUGUAAAUUACCAAAAAAAGUUGAAGUUUUCACGAUUUGAACUCUUUUUUCAUCCAAAAACAGAAGCAUUUAACUCGGGGUUUUCCAUUUUCUCCAGCUAGGGUUUGAAGCGAUUAGGGUUUUGGAGAGGGAGAGGGGGAGACAACGAACGAACCUCGCACUGCUCCCGGACCUUGGACUCCGCGGCGCGAUAAGCCAAUCUCCAGCUCCGGGCGUCGCGGAAGGCGAGGACGAAGGGCCCCGCGGCCGGGUCGUCGUCGGCGGCGGCGGCGACGGGGCCGCGCAGGAGCGGGAGCGGCGGGUCGAAGGGGACGACGGUGGCCGAGGCCGAGUACUCCUCCGCGCCCUCCCCCCGCAUCGCCUCCGCCUCCUCCUCCUCCUCCUCGUCGCCUUUCGCCAUUAAUGGAGAAGGGGAAGGUGCGGAGGACGAGGACGAGGACGAGGUGGCGGCGAAUUGGGGUUAGAGAAGGCGCAGUAGAGAGCGUCGUCGAAAAGGCCACAUUUUUACUCUUUCAUAGGGACAUAACAAGGGUAAAAUGUAUGGAUAGUUCCUCUAAUAUAUCGAUAUUGCUAUUCGGUACCUUUUAUUUUCUCUCUCUCUCUCUCUCUCUCUUUUUUCCUUCACAGGGUGUUUGAGUUUUUGAAAUAUUUAUCUUAGAAAACAAUUUUUUGGCUAAAAAAAUAUUUUUAAAGUUUUUAAAAUUUUAUAAAAUAUAGUAUUUUUGUUUUAAAAAAUAAUUUUUUAUAAAUUUUUGAGGAACCAAAUUUUCUUUUUUUGUGUGUGACUGUAUGAUUUGACUUAUUUAUUUUAUGAUGUUGUGGGCUUGAUACAUGCGAUCCAAAUUUAACACUAUAACAGAAUUUUAAUUCGAGAUCUAAUUGCUGACUCCAUGUAACUAAUUAUUAGGCUAUAAAGGUUUUCAACAUUAGUUUAAUUCGUUUAUUUCAAUCUACUCGAGUGUAAAAAUAUACAUGUGCAUGUGCGAUUAAUCUUUCUAAUAUUGUUUUUAUUUUUAAAAAAAAGAGUAUCAGUAUACUAUCAGUUUUAUGUUUUUAGAAAUAAGCUUAGUCAAAUAUGUGAAACAAUCAAACUUCAAAAUUAGAACUUUAAAUACCAACCAUAAAACCUUUUUCUUUUUGUGUUAAGGACAGUUUAAAAUCUCUCUAAUACUGUUAAUUGUGCUUUGUCUUUUUUAUAUUUAAGAUGGUAAGAUUAAAGAGAGAGAGAGAGAGAGAGAGAUUAUGAUUCUUACUUUAAGCUUCAUUGUAGUUGCCUAUGUCAAAACUCACACACAAAAAAUGGCUAAAUUACAGAAAAUUAUCUUAUAAAUAUUUGAUUCUUUAUAUUUUUUUGGAAAACUUCAAAAAUCUCUCCUGUGGUUUCGUAGUUUCUCACUUUGCUUCCCUGUGGUUUACAAUGUAUCAAUUUGCUUCCCUUUGCUUUCUUUUUUCUCUUUUUCUUAUCAAUUUCAUUAUUUUUUUCUUAAAUCAGUGAUAAAGUUAAAAUUAAAGGGUACUAAGUUGAAUAUUUGAUAAAUCUAGAUGAGUAUCUGAAGUUUUUUGUAUAUAAUUUAAUAAAAUAUUAACGAAAAAACUACCGAAAAGAUAAAAACAAAACCACAGGGGACAAUUUGAUACAUUUUAAACCACAGGGCGGCAAAGUGAGAAACUACAAAACUAGGGGGGGAGGGGUUGAAAUUUUUCUUUUUUUUUCUAACUUUUAAAAAUUUAUAUUUUAUCUUUUCAAUAUUUCAAGUUAUUGCAUUUAGCCCUCCUCUAUCAGGAUGCCAUCAUUAUACUGUUUAUUUCUUAUAAUUUAUAUUAAAAAUAUCAUUCAAAAUCAUAGAAAUAUAUUAAAAUUUUCUUACAUAAAGAAGGGUAAUUUAGUUAUUUUGCUCUCUCCAUUAACGUCGUAUCCCUUUAAAAAUAUUUGUAAAAUUUUAAAAAAGUAAAAUAUAAAUUUUUAAAAGUCAAAAAGAAAAAAAAUGAAAAAAAAACAGAUAUUUAUAAUAAAAUUUCCUGUAUUUUAGCCCAAAAAAAAAAGUCUAUAUGUUAAUAUCCAAAAAGCCAAGAGCACUAGUCCCAUUUGUAAACACAUAAAAUUAUGGGCACAAAUGGAUCUGAAUUGGUGGAGCUUCCGUCCAGAUUCGUCCUGAAUAGGGCUGUAAGUGAGAACUAAAAGGAUAUAAAAAAAUAAUCCGUUCUGAAUCCGUCUCAAUUCACAAAAUAAAUGGAGUUACAGGUGGAAGACCCUUUCUUCUUUUAAUCGCUCCACGCUCGAUUCGUCUGAAGUAGAACGAUAAGUGGAAACCAAAAAUAAAAUUAAAAUUAACACAUCUCAAAUCUGUCCCGACACGAUAAUAUUACCGAGCAGGAGUUAGGGACCCCUUCCGUUUCCAAAUCUACCCCGUCUGCAUCCCUACACAAAAUAAAUCCUCUUACACUAAGCUUGAAGGGUUACAAAAAAUUAAAAUAUAUUUUAAAUAAUGUAAAAUUUUUAACAAAAGGGCAUUUGGUCUAGUGGUAUGAUUCUCGCUUAGGGUGCGAGAGGUCCCGAGUUCAAUUCUCGGAAUGCCCCCCUAAUCUUUUUAUUUACACUUUUAUAAGUAAAGCUACUAUGUUUUUCAUAUUAGUUAGUUUUGGGAGGAAAUAAACCAAACCAAAUUUAUCUUAAUUGCAAACUAUUUUGAAUUGGUUAUGCAACUGUUUAAAAUUUUAAUUUUAUUAUCUAAUUUUUUUAAUUUCUUUUAUUGGAGUUAGUUAUUAAUAUUUUGGACUUCAAAAUUGAAGCUUUUUAUUUAUUUUUAUGAAUUUAUAAUGGCAAAAUUAGUAUAAAAUAUACUAAACUUGUAAAGAUAAAUGAUGCAUUUAAAUUUUGAAGUCAAGAUAUCAUUGACUAACUGAAAUCAAAUAAAUUGAAAGAUUUAAUAGCAAAAUUAAAAUUUUAAAAAAAUAGAUAGUCAAUUUAAAAUGAUUUAUAGUUUAAAUAAUUCUAAACAUUUCCCCCCCUUUUUUUUUUAUCGUGAAUCCUGACAUUUGGUAACAGAGUAGAAAAUAUAAGGCCUUCUUUGAUAUUAUCAUUAUUAGUUUCUAUUUUUUUUUCUAAACAUUAAUUACGCUUCUAAAUAUAAUAGAGUUAUAGUUGAAGUUCAUACAUUUUAGAGUUUGUCAAGAAAUAUUAAAAACUUCAAAAUAUUAUUUUUAGUAAAAAUGUAUAGAACUUAUCUAAUCUGUAAAUUAUUUUGAAUCGACUAUCCAACCUUUCCAAAUUUUAAUUUUAUUAUUCAAUCUUUCAAUUUAUUUAAAGGAAAACUUCAAAAACCCUCCUUGUGGUUUUAAUUUUUUUCACUUUAGUACCCUGUGGUUUAAAAUGUAUCAAGUUAGUACCCUGUGGUUUCUCACUUUAUCACUUUAGUAUAGUUUUAGGUACAGGUUUAGGUAUAAGCAGCCCAAAGAUAAAAAAUAUAGGUAUAGGCUUAAGUAUAAGUAUAGGUAGUUUAUAUAGGCAAAGUAAGCCCAAGCCUAAGCCUAUUUUAAAGCUUAUAGGUAUGAGUAACUGUAGGGAUUGGUUGGUAGUUCGAUAAUCAGUCGAAAACGAUCUAUGUCAGUCACGAUCCGACGCUGCUGCUACAGUCUUCCAUAUAAGAAAACUAUUUCAUAUUUUCACUGUUUUUUUUCUUCUUCUUCUAUUAUUGUAUGUUUUAAAUAGAUUUUAUACGUAAUAAAACUUUGUCGAUAGUCCAGAAAGUUUUAAAAUUAAAAUAAUAGAUUAAAAAAUUAAAUAAACUAAACUCAAUCAGCUGUCAUGAAAACUGGAAUUUUAAAUUCCACUAAUAAACUUAAUUAUUUAAAUAUUAACGUUCUUAAUGUAUUUUAAAUGAUUAAGUUAGACAUUUCUAUUUGUUGCGUAAAUUUAAAAUUUCAAUUUUACCCCGAUCAACUGAAUUUAAUUUAUUUCCUUUUUGAAGUUUUUGGGAGGUCACCAAAGUGUAAAAAAGUAAAAUCAUGGUAUAUCAAAUUUCACAUAGUUCAAUCAUGGAACACCAAAGAGUGAAAUAGUGAAAUCAUGGGACACCAAAUUUCACAUAGUUCAAUCAUAGGACACCAAAACGUGAAAUAGUGAAAUCAUGGGACACUAAAGUGUGAAAUAGUGAAAUCAUGGGAUACCAAAUUUUUUGGUGUCCCAUAAUUGAACUAUGUUUUAAUUUUGGUGUACCAUGAUUUCACUAUUUCACGUUUUGGUGUCCCNAUAUAUAUAUAUAUAUAUAUAUAUAUAUAUAUAUAUAUAUAUAUAGAAUUGAGCCCCUAUGCUUUUAAAAGUACCAAGUCAUUGGUGCUUGUAAGUUUUUAGCCCUUGGAUUAAUAGAUAUAUGGUUAGAAUGAUGUGGGCCCCCUUGGGUUAAGUGGGUGGUUGUUUGAAUAGUAUAAUCUAAUGGAUAAAAAUGAUCAAAGUCAUAGAUCUAACGGUAAAAAAUUCACAAGCACCAAGUGCUUGGUGCUUUUACAAACACCAUAGCCGGACUAUAUAUAUAUAUAUAUAAACUUGAUUUUAUAUUUGAAUUUAUAUUUUAAAAAUUUGGAUUUAAUAUAAUAUAUUUUAAAAUAUUGAAAAUAAAAAUAAUUGUUUCGGGUUCAAAUUUUCGGAUUUGGGCUCGGGUUUUGAAUUUUUGGUCGGGUUUGGGUUUGGAUAUGAAUUUUUAAAAUCCGUCGAGUUCGGAUUCGGGUUCGGGUCUCGGGUUUGGAGUCGGGUUCGAGUUCGAGUUUUUAAAAACCCAACCCGUUGACAUCUCUACGGUUGGCAUCCAAGGUUCCAAGUUUGAGGUAUAAUUAUUUCACACUUCUCGAACAUCACAUCCUCACAAAUAAUAAUGAAUUUGAACCACAUUGGUAGCAAACAAUCAUGCUAUUUCACUGUGUUCAUGACAAUUUUUCCUUCUCCAAAAAGAGAAUAACAUUUAUCAUUACUUUGUUGGCGAUACUCUUCACAAUCAAAACAAAUAACUGAAACUUACUAUCACUUCAGUCAAUCACAAAGAAUUAAAUUAACAGGGAAAAACAAAUCAAUACCAAAACUCUCUACUUCAGAAUAACAAGUCCAAACUGAUACUGUUACCCCAAAAAACAAAAAAGGAAGAAGCAAAAGUAAAGAUUAUACAUUACAAUCAUACAGUUUCAAUCAGAAAAAAAGAGAGAAAAAAUAAAUUAACCUGAUGAAGGUACAGCAUAGAAGCAUGUCACAGACUCUUAGCCCUUUAGAUUAAAGACCAAACCGCGAUUGGAAAAUUUUCUUGUUCACAAGAUUCUUGUCGGAAAAUUAGAAUCAAUGAGAAAUAAUCGAUCAGGGGAUAGAUCCAAGCCCCAACCUUGAUUGAUACCCGACCUUUGGGUUCGAUGAGACGAAUUCUGGCGGGGGGUAACGAAAGAGACAAUUGAAAUAAAACGCAACAAAAACACAAGAGCUUGUUUGGGCUGAAGGGAGGUGCAUCAAGCUAUCGCAACUUUGCCGUACAUAAAUUAGAAAGAAAAGGUUACAGUCACUAAAGAAACUUCAUGUCAAAGCAGGACUCAUUGCAAAAACAAGGUCUGUCGGUCCUGCCUGCGGUGAUUGUAAGAUAGCAGCAAUUAUACCAACAUACAUGUUUGUAUAUGGCACUAAUAGAAGCAAAUUGGCAAAAUGAGCUGUGCAAAUGGAAGAAUUAGAAUAGAUAAUGACCAACAAGAAGCCUGAAGCAAAUUAAUAAUACACUAAAGAACUUGGGGAUUACCUUUCUACCGAGCUACGCCUUUUGACCGAUAAAUCCAAAACUUUCUGGUGGCCAGAUCUGGACAAGACAACGACUAAAUAAUGUCAGAAGGGGUAAAGAAAAAAACCCACAAAUCGUAAGAUGACACACCGUAAAUAACCAGAUAUGCAAGAAACACUAUGACCUAUGUGGUAGUAGAAAAUGAAGUUGAAAUGCUUAUGCCAAGCACAAGGAAUAAGCAUAAGAAGAUUGAAGAACAAACAUUAUAAAAUUAGUCCAACUGCAAUGCAAAAUGCUACAGAAAUUCCAAGCAUUUGGAAUUAAAAUCGACUCAAAGUUCUCUUAGAAAAUUCAAUUGGCUCUUCUAAACCUUGUUCAACAGAAUGACUUUUUGUACACUCACUUUAGCAUGCAUUCUAACCACAAAUCCCAAAUUCAGGUUUUAAGUGGUAGAUGUGGUAUAAUUGCCAGCAGUCACUUAUGUCUUCUUUUUUCACCAGGUGGACUAUAAGAACUUGGCGGUACUGCGUCAAGCUUUGUCUUGACAAAACAACAAUGUAAGCCAUUAGGAAUACUUGUGGAAUGGCAACAGGCUUAGACAAUAGAUGGAACAAUAAAAUGCUCAUUAAGAAAACAAAUAAAGAACUGCACAAUAUUGCUAAGUUUCUUAUUCUUGCUAAUUAAAUUGGAGUCUAGCACAUUCUAAGGAUUAAGCCCGUUAUGCUUUUUGAAAUGCUCAUUAUAGUCAGACGAGCUACCAGAAUUAUAUCCACGGAGAUCAAAGAGAGGAAUAUCGUAGCAAUAGAAUACGGACAACAUUGAGAGCAUCAUCUCCUAUGACUAAAUUACAAAUAACAGACAUACACUCAAUAGCAAAGCUUGUCUUAUGGACAUAAGAAAUGAAAGCAACAACAUACAGAUAUAAGAGAACUCUAACAAUGAGCCAACUUAAAAUCAACUAAGUCACUAGGAUUGUUUAGCCACCAAACUCUUCUACACCCACUAGUAACACUUUGACGCUCCUUAAAACUCUAGUUUCAGAUUCUCAAGUAAAUGAAGAAAAUCUGUCACUACCCAAAAAGCAAUACAUCUUCUCUAAACUUCAAAAUAUGGAAGUUUGUUUUGCACUUCUAAACAUCCGUCCUUACGCUUACCGUCCAACUUCAAUAUUCAAGAAAAACACCCCUUUUUAGUCUCAUGGUGGCUAAAUCAAAUGAAAUGGGUGAUUUAAACAUUAUCUACAUCAUGACCAGCACAUCAAAUCAUGUUCUAAACGAACGACGAAACUUAAAUUUCAUUCUUCCACAUCAAAUUGAGCUAUCAAACCCACAUAAUACCAAUUAACACUGAAUCAAAAGCAAUAAGCUGGUAACAACAACAUAAUCGAUUCAAAAGGAGUCCUCUUUACCCUACAAAAGAUCCUGCCCUGUAUCAAUCCAUACGGCACCGGCCCGAACUGCCUCGAAUCCCUUGAAGCAUAAAUGUUAUCCCCCUGCACCCAAACAUGCCCUUUGGGCACCUGCAAAAGAAACAAUCCAAAAUUAUCACCAAAAAAACUAGUCAAAAUCCAAACUUUUAGCCGAAAAAUCACAAGAUCGAUCGAUCGAUUGAAACAUAGCGCACCACCGCGGUCUUGGACUCGUCGCCCUUGGCGGGAUCGACGAGGUAGGUCACGGCGUCGCCCUCGAGCCCCAUGAUCCGCUUGGCGACGGUCUUCCUAGGGUUUUCCGGGGACAGGAGGAGGACGACGUCCCCCACGGCGACGGAGCCCCACCGCGCGGUGAUCCGGUCCACGGCCACCACGUCGCCGGUGAGGUUCAUGGUCGGGAGCAUGCUUGGGCCCAGCACCUGUAUAUGACGAUGACGUCCUCUUAGAGAGAGAGAGAGAGAGAGAGAGAGAGAGGGAAAAGGGGAGGGGGAGAGUACGAAGGCGACGCCGCAGAGGUGGGCGUUGACGACGUGGACGGCGCAGAGGGUCUUGGCGAGAGCGGCGCCGCCGAAGACGGCGGCGGCGCGGCUCCCGAGGGACAUCGGCGGCGGCGGCGGCGGCGGCGGCCGAGGGGCGGGUGGUGGUGUAUGUCGCCGGGGGUGGAAUUUGGUUGUGAACGGAGUGCGGGUACUAUAGAGAAGUAAAAUUGCAGGAAACCCCUUCGAGUGUCUCGUAAUUAGUAUUUCAAAUUUUUCGACGAUACAAGAAAGAGAUUUGCGAACAUGGAAUGAUGGAAGCGCUCAUAUAUAUAGAUAAGUAAAAAAACUUAUAAAAAUUACGUAAACUAGACCAUUUAGUUUAGAGUAAACUUUAAAUACCAUCACUGUAGUUUUGCAUAUUCUCAUUUUAAUAUCUUACGAUUUAAAGUGCAUCAAAUUAGUAUCUCGUGAUUUUAUUUUUCUCUUUUCACCCGCUCCUCCGUUAAUAUUUUGUUAAAUUAUAUACAAAAAACUUCAGAUACUCCACCUAGGUUUAUCUAAUAUGCACUUUAGUACUCUUUAGUUUUAACUUUGUAACUGAUUUAACGAAAAAAAUUAAUGGAAUAGAUAAUAAGAAGAGAAAAAUAAAACAACGGGUACUAAAUUGAUAUACUUUAAACCACAGAGUAUUAAAGUGAGAAACUGUGAAACCACAUGGGUGAUAUUUAAAGUAUUUUCUUUGAUUAUCUAUCCAAAUUUUCAAAAUUUUUAUUUUACAGUCCAAUCUUUUAAUUUGAUUAGUUUAAGCUACGCGACAACACUUUAACUUUAAAAUUUAAAUUAUUACUUAUUUUAAUAAAUUUAUAGUUACAAGAAUUAUAUAAAAUAUAUUAAUUAAACCUUUAAAACUAAUGAUGUAUUCAAAUUUCAAAGUUACUUGUCGUUGAAUGACUCAAAUCAAAAAAAUUUAAAAAUAAAUAAUAAAAUUAAAAUUUUAAAAAAUUAGAUAGUCAAAAGGAAAAUAAUUAAAGUUCGAUUAAGUUUUAUACGUAUACACUAUAUUAGUAUUUUAAAUAAGUCUAAAAUUUACAAAAAAAAAGAUAGAAUUUGGUAUAAAUUUUUUCAGAAGUAAGUUCACAGGCGGUGCUAGUUAACUCAUUUUAAAGUUUAUCUGUAUAAACUUUAUUUUAGCAAAAUUUAUAAAUAAAUUCAAUGAUUAUCCUUAAUAUUUGUUUGACACAUUGAUAAAAUAUAGAGUACAAAUUAGCAUAAUUUUUAACAUUCGAAAUAAUUGAAAUAUAAGCUAAAAUAUCAAAGGAAUUUUUGUAUAUUUGGUCCUUUAAUUUUGGUGAAAACUGUAUGGAGACCAUUCUCAACUAUAGGCUAUUUUGAAAUCACCCCCUUAAUUUUAACUUUUUUAAUAGACACAUCCUUAUUAACUUCACAUUUCCAAAAAUUAAAUUAUAAUUCAUUAUCUUAGUGAAUAAUAUAUAUUUACAGUAGAACAGAAAUAAUAUAUUAUUAUAAAGUAAUAACAUAACCUUUUUAAAAUUACAAGAUGGUUAUGUGGAAAUAUAUCUAACUACGGCGGGCUAUUUGGAAUUUACCAUCUAUUUUACACGUGUUGUCUUUCUACUGGUCCGGUCUACCAGAUUGGUCCAUGAUAAUUCCCCUUCUAAUCCACCGAUCUCUUCGAAGGCUAGGGUUUUCGAGCUAACGCACUAGAUAAGUACCAACGCCUACGGUUUCAGUGAACCUUCUCGUUCGCCUCCCCCUUACGAGAAACCCUAACCCUCGCAUCCCUCGUCCUCCUUCCGAGGCGGCGAGGAGCGGCCAUGGCGGCGACGCGGGUGCUCUCGCAGAAGGAGCAGGACAUCCAGAUGAUGCUCGCUGCCGACGUCCACCUCGGCACCAAGAACUGCGACUACCAGAUGGAGCGCUACGUCUUCAAGCGGAGGACCGAUGGUAUGCCCCGAACCCUAAUCCUAACCCAUCAUUUUACCCUUGGAUUCAUGCUAUUGAUGCUUGAUCUUUGGGGUCUUGUGCUAUUUCGCUUCCAUGUUGCGUAAUUGAUUCGUGAACUAGGAGAUGUGAUUUGUGUUUAGUUGCCUUGGAUUUUACUUGAGGUUGCCAUGGAUUUGGUUUGUUCUAGAUUGCAAAAGCUUCGAUUUUGCAUGUGUACGUACUACGUAGCCUCCAUGUACCCUUGGUUAUGCUAUUGAUGCUUUAUCUUUAGUGUUUUGUGCUAUUUCGCUUUUAUGUUGGAGAACCGAUUCAUGGACCAGGGUAUGUGAUUAGUAUUUAGGUGCUUUGGGUCUUAAUUAAGGUUUUCAUGGAUUAGUAUUGUUGUCUAUAGCAAAAGCUUUGAAAGUAUAUGUAGUCUCCUAUGUUGCUCAACCUCUUUACUGUGCCAAGUUAUACCUUUGAGUUCAUGCUAUUGAUGCUUGGCUUUGUAUGUAAUUUUGCUUUUAUGUUGGAAAUUUGAUUUGUGAACUAGGGCAUAUGAUAGGCAUUUAGUUGCCUUGGAUUAUAAUUGAGGUUUCCCUGGGAUAGGGUUGUUGUAGAUUGCAAAAGCUUUGAAUUUGUAUACGUAGUAUCCUAUGUUGCGCAACCUCUUUACUGUGUGAAUCAUGCUAGUGAUGUUGCUCCCUGUUUAUAAUGAUGGAUGGAAGUUGUAGAUUGAGAACAACUUGUUUUAUGUUAAAGAUGUAUGGAGUCCUUUAACUAUCUGCCGUUUUGAAAGAUGCUCUUUCAUUUUUUUUUAAUUGAUUCCCCUUCUAAUUUUUUAUUUGAGUUCUUGUAGUUUAUUAAUGUGAAAAUUUUGUUAAAUUUAAUGGCUCUAUUAGCAUGUAGUAGUUCAAUCUUAUUAGCUAAAGAGUGAUUAAAGCCACUAAAUUUGAUGGCAUCACCGAUAAAUUUAAUAAAUCCCCCCAAUGUAGUUUACUAAAAUCACUCAAAUAGAAAAAAACAAAUCAAAAGUUAGGAGGAUCAGUUAGAGAAAGAGGAAAAGUUGAGGGGGCCAUUUCAAUGGUCCAUGGUUGAGGCCUUGAGGGGUCUGCAUACAUUUUUACCUUAAACUUUAUAUAUAAGUAGACUUGUGAUUGAUUGGCACAAAUGGCAGUUUUAAACCCAAAAAAUAAGAGUUAAAUGUUACCAAAGGGAUAGAAAUUGCCGCUGUGAUUACUACUAGUGGAAGAACAUCGACUGCAUUAUGGGAUUCCUUUUUAUUUUUACUGCUUUUCCAUGAGGCAUGGUCUAGAUAGUUAUGGUCUCUUGAUGCUAAAAUUUAAUAAAUUGCUAAAAUACCAGCUCAAGCAAUGUAAUCAAACUGUUUUUUAUUGUUCUUUGGUCUUUUACACUAAAGAGAGCUUCUGCAUGCCUUUGUUAUGUGAGAAUUUACGUGCCUCGAUUCUGAGCCUUGUCCAUAAUAGAGAAGAAAUAUACAUUAGUUUGUGCUUUAGUUGUGUCAAAGUAUUUGACCAAAUCAUUCAAUGAAAACCAGGGAUGUAUACUAGAAAUCGAGUGAUAUUUUUUUUAUCUCUUGCUCUUUUUUUGUUGUAUGAGUCAUUGUUUUGGAUGAUUGGUGAGCUGAAUGCUGAAUUUUUGAAGAAAGGAGAUUGUAGUUCGCUUCUACUUCUUGCUUAUACAAUUUGGAAAUAUCUUUAUGAGAUGAUGGAUGUAAAACUUACAAGCUACAUUGCUUGGUCCUAACCUCAGGAAUUUACAUUAUCAACCUUGGGAAAACUUGGGAGAAACUCCAACUGGCAGCUAGGGUUAUUGUUGCCAUUGAGAACCCCCAGGAUAUCAUUGUCCAAUCAGCAAGGCCGUACGGUCAAAGAGCUGUCUUGAAGUUUGCACAGUACACUGGCGUCCACCCUAUUGCCGGAAGGCACACUCCCGGAACCUUCACUAAUCAGCUGCAAACUUCCUUUUGCGAGCCUCGCCUUCUUGUUCUCACUGAUCCUAGGACUGACCAUCAGGUAAAAGACAUCAUUGCUAUUAGCUUUUGUUUUUGGUUAUGCUUCUUUCACAUAUGUGCCCCUGCAAAUGUGAGAAAUCACAAACACUACCCCUACAAGUUUAUCCGACGAGAUGGACUAUUCCCUGUCGCGUAAGAUGAGUGUAUUUUUGUAAGCAAGUGAUCUUUCGACAGUUAUAUAUGAGAGCUAGACUUUUCCAGGGGUAUGUACAUAAGAAGACAAUUUUGUAGAGAAAUUUUAGCAGAAUCUCUAUUAAUUGCUUUUAGCAUUUAAUUUUGAACAGCCAAUCAAGGAAUCUGCCUUGGGGAAUAUUCCCACCAUUGCUUUCUGUGACACUGAUUCUCCAAUGCGAUAUGUUGAUAUCGGAAUUCCCGCAAAUAAUAAAGGAAGGAACAGUAUUGGCUGCUUAUACUGGCUGUUGGCGAGGAUGGUUCUGCAGAUGAGGGGUACCAUUCUUCCUGGACGUAAAUGGGAGGUGAUGGUAAGUGAUGAUAAUAUUACAUGGUUUAGUAAACCUUUUUGGUAAAUAUGUAUGGGCCUUACCUGAACUAUCGUAUGUUUAAUGGGCAUCUCAACUUCAAAUAUUUUGAUUUCACUUUUUUAUCAGUCCACCUUUUAGUUGAUAUUGUAAUUUCACUUUUUGGACGAUUGGACUUAAAUUUCUUUUGAUGAGCUGCAAUGCCUUGCGCUAACAUAUAAAAACAAAAGAAAGUGCUGUGAUACCCAAAAAUAAUGGUUUUCUUUCUAUUGGCUGCAAAAAGUUCAAUAAAAAGAUGGAAGCUGUUCCUGAGUUUUUCUAGUUGCUCUUGUUGUGUGGUGUAUGUGCAGGUUGAUCUGUUCUUCUACAGAGACCCUGAGGAAGCCAAGGAACAGGAAGAGGAGGAGGCUCCUGUUGCACCUGAAUACGGCGCAGUUGCUGAUUACACUGGCGUGGGGGCUGCUGAUCAGUGGGCUUCCGACCAGUGGACUUCCGAAGUGGGAGCUGUUCCUCCAGCUGUUCCUCCUGUGGCUGGUGUUGAAUGGGCUGCUGCUCAAGGUCAGAAUCCCUUAAUUAUUUCUUUGAUUAUAUAAGCUCGCAUUUGCUCUUUUAUUUUGGAUCAACCACAGUUGCUGGGGUCUUACCGUGAUCCGGAUCGCACGUACUGAUUUGUGCUGGGUUCUCAAUCCGGAUCACAACAAGUGGUGAAUCAGAAUAGUAGAUAAGUACUUCAACUUUUCUAGAUCUAAUUGUUUUAGUUACCUGUAAGAAAUAUGUUUUACUAGAUAGAAUAAUGUCAAAGAGUCAUACUCAUAUAAAAAAAGUUGAAGCGCCUUUGAUUAGAAGAGAGAGUAACCAAUCUGUUCUUUAAUGAAUAAAGAAUUAUUAGGUAAUGAAGGUAGUUAUUGACUUUUUUAUCAAUGCCAAUCUGUAUUGACGUUCUAAAUGAACCACGUUCCAGAAUAAUGUUCCGACUAAUCCUACUCCCCUCCUACUGCAUUUCUAAGAAAUUAGCAAACCAUGUUCUCGUACUUGUGCCACACAUCACUGCAAAUCCUGUUCCAGGAAACAUUGGGAUCAACUUCUUUAACUUUGCUAGAUGUUAAGUGGGAAAGGUCUAGUGCUUUGACUGUUGCGAGAAGCCGAAAUAUGUUUGUAGGCCCCACAAGUAGAGCUUUUAUUUGAAGUUUUUGCUCCUGGUGCAACUCGAAAGUUGUUGGAAAAUAUGUCGUACCCUCUUGAACCAUAAACACAAUGCACAUUCCCACCCAAAGUUUGGAAAUUGCUGCAAUCAACUGCCGGCUCAAACUUAGUUAUUUGUAAGAAAUUCUCUACGAACAUGAAAGCAAUGCCUCAGAUAUGCCUAAUCAUCUUGUCCCUUUUUUUUUGUUUUUUUUCCCCCAAGUAACAGCUCCGGUGGCUGGUGAUGGAUGGGACACCUCUGCGGCCCCGGUGGCGACCGACGGCGUUGUGGCGCCUAUUGUUCCAUCCGGUUGGGAGGCCGCUCCGCCUGCACCUACAGGAUGGGAGUAAGGAGGGGGAGGGUUGUUUUCGUAGGGAACGGAUGAGUUUAACUUGAGAUAUAGAGCAGUUGCUUUCUGAGAAGACUUUUUGAGAACGAGUUUUUGGAGAUUCUGUUCAGUAGUCUUGUUAUUGUAUUUCUGAGAACCAGGAUACCUACUAUAUCUGUGCUGGUAUUUUAUGCUGGUUUUCGUAUUUUUCUUCAGCUUUCUUUUAAAACAUGGAUUGUAGCCAGAUUUUUCAUGCAGUUGAAGUGUACUAUGAUGAUAAACUAUUUAUUUUUAAACCGAAAUUACUCGGGAAAAAAAGCCCUUAUCGUAGAAUAACUCACCCUGAGCUUUUCUGUUCUUGAGGUCUGCAAAGUAAAAUUUCAAUUUUCUCUUCUUUUGCCGAAUCUGCGGUUGCUGUUUGUGGAGUAGAGAAGCUAUUUUGUUUUGUUGAACAGACUAGCAAAUCCUUACAUUUUGUGACGGGUAAAUUUCAAUUACCAGUAUUAUGGUUUAGCUUAUUUUUAUUUUGUCAUUUUGUAUUUAAAAAAAAUUAUAUUUUGCUGUCUUAUAGUUUUAUUUUUACUUUUUUGAAAAAUUUUAUUAUUAAAUAGUGUAAUUUUUGUUUUAUAUUAUAAUGUAGUGUCGAAUAAUAUAAUUUUUGUGAUAUGUGGUGUAGUUUUAAAUAAUUUUAAAUAGUGGAAUUUUGUCUUAAAUAGUGAAAUUUCAUCACAAAUAAGUGUUUUCUACUUUUUUGAUUUUUCUGUAGUGGUCACCGAAUGGUAGUCUUUAUAUGAGAAGAGAAAUUUAUUUAUUUUUUUUAUUUUUAUAUCCUUUUUAUUUUUUUUAUUUUCACUUCUUGUAUUUUUGUUACUGUGCCUUCUCCCUCGUCUAUCAUGGCGCACUAGUGAAAUACCCGUGCGAUGCUGCGGAUCUAAAAGUAUUUUGACAAUAAAUUUUAUUUUUUUAAUAUUUUUAUAUAGUUUUAUAAGUCUAAUUAUUAAUUAAAUAAAAGUUAUAUAAAAAAGAUGUAAUAGUUAAAUCUAUUUAAAUAAAAGUCAUUAAAAUUGGUAUAUGUGCAAGUAAUUUAUACAUCACUUUAUUUUAUAAAGAGAUAAAUCUUCAAAAUAAUUUUUAAAAAAUCAAUAGAUAGAAGGAAAUAAAUUUGUAGAAGAAAUUGUCAGUAUAUUUUUUAAAUUUUUCACUUGAAAUUUAAAAUUAUGUAAUUUUUUAUACAACAAUAUUUUACGUGAUUUAAAUUAAAUCUAUCAUGUUAGAUUUUAUUAUGCAAUUUAUUACGCGUAUUAUUAAUAAAAUUAAAUUAAUUAAAUCAUAGAGUUUAGAGAUUUAAAAUUUUAAAUUUUGAAGUUACAAAAUUGGAAAUAAAUAUUAUAAGUUAAAAUUGAAAUUUAGAAUUUAAAAUAUAAAAUAUAAAAUUUAAAACUUUAAAAUUUGAAAGUAUGAAAAUUUUAAAUUUUGAUAUAAAAAUUAAAAAUUAUAUAUAUAUAUAUAGAGAGAGAGAGAGAGAGAGAGGGGAGAGUAAAGGAGGGUUUGGGGGUGACACGUGUCACCUUAGGACCCCCCAAACCCUCCUUUAAUGUAGAAAAGAAUAGAUUCUCCCUUCCUGUCCUUCUCAGAUUUUGCGGUGUUCUUGUCACUAUUCAUGAUCAUGCCCUCCACUGCAGCGAAUGUGUGGACUAGAUAGGAGAGAAAGGAAGGGGGAGGAAGCGGGAGAAGAAAAAGGAGGGACGAUGAGAAAAAGGGAGCCGAAGAUGAAGUGGAAAAAUGAACGAAAGAAAUAAAAGAAAGAAAAAAAGAAUCUGGGAGACGAAGAUGAAGUAGAAAAACGAACGAGAGAAAAAAAGAAAGAAAAAAAGAAUAAGGGAGACGAAGAGGAAAGAGAGAAAAACGAAUGAGAAAAAAAGAAGAAAAAAAAAAGAACGAACGAGAAAGAAAGAAGAAAGAAAAAAGAAUAAAGAUAUAAAGGUGUGAGUCAGGUAGGAAAGAGAAGCGCAAAGAGAGACGAAGAGGAUAUUUUGGUCAGAAAUUGAAAAUUCAGAUCUAAUAUAUAAAAUCUAAAAAAAUGGCAAAAUACGUGAAUUUUUUAUGCAAUUUGACUUUUUAUCAAAUUUAGUAAUUUUUAUUAUAUUUUAGCAAAUAAUCAAAUCAACAGAUAAUAGCUAACAAACUCUUCAAAUUUAAUGAAAAUUUUAACUGAGUUAAGUUAAAAAAAAAAGAAAAGGAAAACAUGGAAAUAAAAAAGAUGUGGAAGGAUCUUAAUAAACGAAAGAGUAAAUUUUAAAUACCACCCUUAUAGUUUCGCAUUUUCUCCCUUGAAUGUCCUAUGGCUUAAAGUGUAUUAAGUUAGUAUUAUGUGGUUUUAUUUUUAUCUUUUCGACAGCUUUUUCGUUAAUAUUUUAUUAAAUUAUAUAUAAAAAACUUUAAAUACUGAUCUAGAUUUAUCGAAUAUUCACUUUAGUAUCCUUUAAUUUUAACUUUGUCACUGAUUUAACGAAAAAAAAUCAGUGAAAUGGAUAAUAAAAAGAGAAAAAAGAAACCACAGAGUACAAACUUGAUAUACUUUAAACUACAGGAUACUAAAGUGAAAAAGUACGAAACCAUGGGGGGUAUUUGAAGUUUACUCUAAAAAGAGAGGUUGAAGGCCGAUUUCAAAGAUGAUUUACAGUAGAGGGGUUUCCAAGAAAAGGUCCUUCUCAGAAGACGAGCGACUCGAAGUCUCGAACCAGCUCCUUCUUCCGAUCACCUCUCCUCUCUCACCUCAUCUCCAACCGUGCAAUCCCCAAAACCCUAACCCUAACACUAACCCCCUAACCCUAGAUUUAUACGAACCUCCCUUCUCCAUUGACGCCGCACUCUCUCUCGCUCUCGCUCCCAUCGGAGGGUUGUGGGGGAAAUGGAGAGCCACAAGCGCUCCCUGCUACGCUCCCGCCUCCGCGUGACGGCGCGGCGGCGGGGCCAGGACGUGGGGGCCUCCGGAAGCGGCGGCGUAGGCGGCGGCGCCGCCUCCCGGAGGCGGAAGCGCCGGGAGGGAGGGUGCCUCAACUCCGUGAGGAAGCUCUUCUGCCGCGAGAUCGGAGGCCGAUCGCGCGUGGCCCGAAUCGCCGCCUCCGACGCGCCCGAGAGGUUCCGCAACAUCCAGUUACAGGUACCUUCCUUCGCCUCCCUUCCCUCGUCUCCCCUCCUUUCCUUUUCCCUCGAAAUUAGGGUUUUGGUUGAGAUGCUAGGGAGUUAGGGUUCUCGAAUUAUCGGAAUUCGCCGUAAUCCUGAGAUAUUAUGCUUGUUUUUCUUCUCUUUUUUUUUUGAGAAAAAUUUUGGUAGCAUAGCUUUGUUUUUCUGCUUCUUGAUGGCAUUUUACAUUGGAAGGGACGAUUUUGGGGGGCGGGGAUUGACAUUAGGGUUUGGGUUUUCAUCUGAAAAUUUUGGUGGCUGGAUUAGGCUAGCAAGGUCCAUUUGGAUGAUGUAUUGGCAUUAGGCCAUUAGGGCUUUAUUGUUGUGUUAGGAAUGAUAUUCCUGCAACAUAUACAUGUAAAAGAUUGAUUAAUCAGGGGUUGGCAGGAAUUAGCAUUCAUCACUUAAAUUGUUUAGCUAGCUAAAGAAUUUCACUUAAAUUAUGGUGCAUUUCGACGUAGGUGCCUCGACUUCUUACUAUUUUGAUUUACAAUUAUGCCACCUUUAAGGUCUGUCCGAAUAUUACAAAUUUCCAUCAGAAAAGUUCUAUUUUGCUGUUGUGUAAAAGGAAUACUCAAUUUUGUUGUCUUAUAUUUUGUUGAAAGAGUUAAAUAAGUUAUGAUAGAUAUGGGAGUAAAAUGAAAUUUUGAAAUUUCAUUACCUAUAACAGUAUGCACUAUAUUUUAUGCAAUAUCUGUACAUUCUUACCUACGAGUCAUCAACAUUCUUACCUAUGAUUAAUCAGUAAUAGUUUGAUAUAGGUAUUUUCGAGCAGGUUUUUUUAAAGAUGCCCCCUUUUACAGUUGAUGGAAGGAUAAAAAUGAUUAGACUAGUGUAAAGAUCCGUAUACUUUGAUGAAUCACAGAUUAAGUCCCAGGAAUGGGCCCUGUGCAGUUGUUUUUCUCUAUUCUGUUUGUUAUAUCAGACCCUUUUAUCCAAACUAUGGGGUUACAUUUACAUAAAGCUCAGAAGGCUAUAAAAGAAUUUGAUAGAUCAAUGGCUGACCUAUUUAUGGUUCAUAGGCAGAUGGACUUGGGUAGCAACCGUCUGAAAUUUCUCUUGGGAAACAGAUCUGUUUUUAUUUCUUGAGCAGAUUUUGGGGGAGUGACGACAACCUUUUAAUUUUUCUUAGAUUUUUCCUUUAACAAAUGAGAACUUGUCAUCCUCUAGCCUUAUCCCCGAAAACUCCUGACUCGGACUCACAUUGAACAACUGAAGAGCCUUCCCCUAAACCCUACCCUGGAACUUACCACAGCCAUACCAACGAUUUGUCGUACAAUUUGCUGUUUUACAUGGAGUUUAAUAGAUUUGUAUAAUGUAGAUGCCAGGCUUCUUUUUCCGUAGACAUUGAAUUAAAAGUUUUUAGAGGGCUUAUUUGUUUUUCUUCCCUAUUAAACUAAUAAGUAAUUAUAAGUUACUUAUAAAGGGUGCUAAGUUUACUUGCUCGAAACCAUGCCUUGUUAAUCCUAUCUUGCAAGAGAAGGAUAUCUAAAAUGGACCGUCUUUAAAUCUCUACAGGUAGAAUGAGAGCGUGAAAAACAUCACCUUGUAAUUUACGAAUCACUUUUGGAAAAGGGUAUUGCUAUUUACCUUUUACGAAUAGGUAUAUUAAACUGAUUGGUCUUUAAUGGUGCUAUUUUCCUUUUCUUAAUGCAGGAAGAGUUCGAUACCUACGAUCCUAGUGUUCAUUUGUUUGUGCAGUUACAAUUUCUUGCAAGAAGAUCUAGAAUCAUUGAGAUUGUUUCAGCAAAGGAUGCUAUUUUUGCCCUUGCGCAGUCAGGAUUAUGUGCUGCUUUUUGUCGAAGUAAGCAUUAUGUCCCUACCAAUACUAUAAAAACUUGUCGAAGUAAGCAUUCUGCGGCAUCACUUCUGCAUUUUGCUUUCUGUCGGAAAAUUUACAGAAUAUUCCCUCAGAAUAUUGCAGAAUCUGUUAUGCUCUGAGUUCUAACGGAAUAUUUUGAAAUUAUUGUGAGAUCAAACAAUAUAUUAGUUGAGGGAUGACUUCAAAAAACAAAGUUUAGGAAUGUGUUUCUAGUUGAGACUUGAGUGUCCUUGCACCUUUUUUUCACUGUAAUUGGUAUCUUUUUUUUCUCUUGGCAGCUACAAACAAGCGGUUAUGUUUCUUGAAUAUUAGCCCGGAUGAAGUGAUUAGAAGCCUUUUCUAUAACAAGAACAAUGAUUCACUUAUUACAGUCUCAGUUUAUGCUUCGGACAACUUCAGUUCUUUAAAGUGCAGGACAACUCCAAUAGAGUAAGAACUUCAAUCCAUCCGUUAAGUUUGAUUUUGCUAGUGAAUUCUCUAUGCAAAAUUUUAUUCUUUCAUCCAUAUUUGUUUAUGCUUUAAAGUUUGUAGUAUAAUGUAGUUGCUCUGAUUUGUCACUGCUCACUAUGCCAUUUUUACACAAACAUUUUAUAGCAGAUAGAUGAAAUAUGCAACCAAGUAUCCUUUGGCAGAUUGGCACAUGCCAGGGGCUUAUAACCAUAUUUGGAACCCAAGUUCAUUUUCUUUUUGGUGCUUUACAUUUUGUUAAGACCACAUAUUUACAUUUGUAAGACCAUAUAUUUACAUUUGUAUUCCAAUAAAAUCAGAAUUUUGUAUAUAUAAACCUUAUAGAAGCACAGUUUCUUACCAAAAAUGCUCAUAUCUGAAGUUGGGAAAGUAAUCCAAGUUAUGGGAAACAGUUGGAUUUUUAAUAGGAAAGUUUUGUCAAGAGGGCAAAUUUUUUUGAAGUACAUGGAUAUUCAUAUGCGCACAUGUGUGUAGUAAAUUAGGAUUUUGAAGAGAAAAAAUUUGAAAUCCCGGGAUAUUGUAACUAUAUUAUUUUGCUUUAACAGCAAUGUAUUUAAAUAUCUCAGUUUCUGCUCUACUGUGGUAUUUGUGUAGCAACUUUGAUUAAGAUCUAUAGUUUUCUUGCUAUUGGAGUGCUCAUUCAGAACCUUUAGCUUACUAAUUGUUUGAGAUGCGCCUUUGACAUUUUAUUAUUAAUUUUUGUCAGGUAUAUCAAGAGGAAUAGAUUGGAUGCUGGAUACCCUCUUUUUGAAACUGAAUCACUUAAAUGGCCUGGUUUCGUCGAAUUUGACGAUGUAAAUGGAAAAGUACUAACUUAUUCAUCCCAGGAUGGGUGAGCAAACUUUAGCUCUGCUAGUUCUAAUCAUCAUUUAGCUCAUUUUGUUAAUUUAAUUUAUAUUUCUCAAUAUUUUGCAGCAUCUACAAGGUUUUUGACUUAAAGAACUACUCCUUUUUGUAUGCAAUAUCUGAUAAGAACGUGCAGGAGAUAAAAAUCAGGUUAACUUUUUUUUAUUUCUUCCACUGUUCUUGAUGCUGUAAUUUCAACCUAGAGUUGGCUUAAAUGACUCUUCCAAAUUUCCCUAACCCUCAUCUUUUGAACCUUUUUUUUCCUUUUUCUUUUGGCCGGCGAGCAGUCCUGGAAUAAUGCUGCUAAUAUUUGAUAGAUCACCUAGUUAUGUUCCAUUGAAGAUACUCUCGAUUGAAGAUGGGUCAGUGUUGAAAUCUUUCAAUCACUUGUUGCACCGUAACAAAAAGAUUGACUUUAUCGAGCAGUUCAAUGAGAAGCUUCUGGUCAAGCAAGAAAAUGAAAACCUCCAGAUCCUUGAUGUAUGGAACUCUAGCUUUUAGCCAUUAAUCUCUUUCCUAACUCUACACCAGAUCUUUUUGGACCGUGCACACAAAAGUCCCUGCAAAUUCAACUAUUACAUAUAUGCCCCAGUAAUAACUAAAUUUCUAUGUUCACCACUUCAAAAUGCAGCUUUUGCAAAAAAUAUUUUAUGUUGAAUCAGGGUCAUCCGAUUCAUGAAGGGAAGCUGGUUCUCUACCAGAAAAGGGUUUUACAUGGGUGCAUUUUUCUAAAUUGUAUGGAAUAAGUUUUUGAAGGGCUUGCGUAAAAAAUUAUAUUGUGGAGGGUUAUAUAUGCAGAUAAAAUAAUUUCAUUGGGGUAGAUGUCCAAGAGAUCCCUGUAUCUCUUUGGAGUAUUAUCGCUAUCUCUGUAUCUAUAUCUAUAUCUAUAGAUAUCUCUACAAAUUUUAUGCGCUCUAGAAUUUUUUUUUUUUUUGUUUUGCAUAUAUGCCUUUACUUGCGGAAAAUUUUCCUCUUUGAAAAGUUCUUAUACAAAACCAACUCCCACAAAUUGGAUGAUUAAUCAACGUAUCUUUCUCUAAGCUACUCUAUUUUCAAGGGUCUAUAUGGAAACUGUAUAAGUAAAUAGAUGAGUGCAGGAUAUAAAUAUGCAAAAUAUCUAUAUGUACGAUCUACUUCUGUUUUACUAACAAUCUCUAUAUACCCAAAAAAAAGGUGAGGAAUUCAGAGUUGACUGAGGUGAGCAGGACUGAGUUCUCCACUCCUUCGGCAUUUAUAUUCCUGUACGAGAACCAUCUUUUCUUAACAUUUCGAAACAGAACGGUCGCGGUGUGGAAUUUCCGCGGGGAGCUCGUGACUUCUUUUGAAGAUAAUUUGCUUUGGCAUCCUGAUUGUAGUACAAAUAACAUCUAUAUAACAAGCGACCAGGAUCUGAUCAUCUCAUACUGCAAAGCUGAAGGAGCGCGUGAAGAUGAAGGUGAAUUUGACACACUCUGCUUGUUUGAGAUAGAUAUUUUGUUUUCCUUUGGAUAUAUAUAUAUAUAUAUAUAUAUAUAUAUAUAUAUAUAUAUAUAUAUAUAUAUAUAUAUAUAUUAGAGUAGGGCUACUAUACUAUUAUGAGUAUUGGGCCCUUCGUACUCAUAAGUUGUUUUGAUGAUGAGCUUCCGAAUCGACGAUCCACCCGUUAACAUGAUCUAGAGUAUUUGAAACUUCUAGAAAAUAAAUUUCGUAUUUUCGAAAUCAUAAUAAAAUCCAUCAAGCGGCAUAAAAUGAACAGUCAAAAUCGAACGAUGUCUUAAAAAUGGAUGAUCGGAUCCUUCAAUUUAAGAUCGAGUUAUUGAUCUUUAUCUAGGUAGUGAAUAGAAUUUUCUAUAAAAAAUUCAACCUAUUCGGAUUCUUUUGCACCGUUAAACUAGCAAGUAUUCCAUACUGGCCGUUAAAAAUUGUCAAUUUUGUGAGCUUUUGAUCGUAAGGUAAAUGAUGUCGAAAAAUUAUGAAAUUUGAUUUCUAGAUGUUUCAAAUGCUCUAGAUAACGUUUAACGGUGUGGAUCGUCGAUUCGGAAGCUCUAUCAUCGAAAACAACUUAUGAGUACGAGGGCGAUCAUACUCAUAAUAGUAUAGUAGCCAGACUCUAUAUAUAUAUAUAUAGAGAGAGAGAGAGAGAGAGAGAGAGAGAGAGAGAGAGAGAGAGAGAGAAUUAGGCUACUAUACUAUCUAUAGAACCGGAGCUCCGGUACUAUGGUCUUGUUUUCGAUCUUAGGGUGUUUAAAUUAACGAUCCACACCGUUAAAUAUGAUCUAGGGUAUAUGAAUUUCUUAGGAAUAAAAUUUUAGUUUUUUUCGACAUCGUUUACUUAGUAAAUAAAUUAUGUCAAAAUUGACGGUGGAAAUUGAAUAAUCUUUAAAAUUUGAUCAUAGGACUUUUAAAUUCAAGAUCAAGAAUGCUAACCUUAAUCUAGAUAGUUUAAAGAAUUUUCUAUCAAAAUUUGAAGAAAUUUAGAUUCUUCUACACCGUUAAACUCCAAACUCGCCAUAGUAGCCAUUGAAAAUUGACAAUUUUGAAAUGGUUUGAUCAUAAAGUAAAGUAUGUCGAAAAAAUGUAAAAGUUUAUUUCUAAAAGCUUUAAAUACUCUAGAUCAGUUUUAACAGUGUGGAUCGUUGAUUUGAACACCCUAAGAUUGAAAACGAGACUAUAGUACCGGAGCCCCGGUACUAUAUAUAGUAUAGAAGACUAGCUCUAUAUAUAUAGAGUCCGGCUACUAUACUCUUAUGAGUACGAUCGCCUUCGUACUCAUAAGUCGUUUUCGAUGAUAGAGCUUCUGAAUCGACGAUCCAUACCGUUAAACAUUUUCUGGAGCAUUUAAAACUUCUAGAAUUUAAAUUUUAUAAUUUUUCGAUAUCAUUUACCUUACGAUCAAUAGCUCACAAAAUUAACAAUUUUUAACGGCCGGUAUGUGAUACUUGCUAGUUUAACGGUGUAAAAGAAUCGGAAUAGCUUGAAUUUUUGAUAGAAAAUUCUCUUCAUUACCUGGAUAAAGAUCAAUAACCCCGAUAUUAAAUUGAAGGAUCCGAUCAUCCAUUUUUAGGACGUCGUUCGAUUUUGACCGUUCAUUUUAUAUCCGCUUGAUGGACUUUAUAAUGAUUUCGAAAAAUCACGAAAUUUAUUUUCUAGAAGUUUCAAAUACUCUAGAUCAUGUUUAACGGUGUGGAUCGUCGAUUCGGAAGCCCGAACAUCGAAAACAACUUACGAGUACGAAGGGCUCUAUACUCAUAAGAGUAUAGUAGCCCUACUCUAUAUAUAUAUAUAUAUAUAGUAUUUGCCCUAUCUUGCUAUCAAGUUUUUAGCCUUUGGAUCAAUUUCUUUGAUCAUUUCUAGCUAUUGGAUUAAAUAUUAUAAUCCAGUGGGGACCACUCAAUCCUAGGGGGGUCACUCAACUCUAAGGGACUGAUUUCAUCCUAACCCUAUAAUUUCUCAUCCAAGGAUUAAAAACUUGAUAGCAAAAAGGGCCAAAUACUAUCAAUAGUAUUCCAGCCCAAUUAUAUAUAUAUAUAUAUAUGUGUGUGUGUGUGUGUGUGUGUGUGUGUGUGCGCGCGCGCAUAAUACGGAACUACAUAAUAUCCCUGUGAAGUAGGUAUUUUUUAUGUGCCAUUAGAAUUGUAGUUACUUGCAUUCCUCUGCUGCCAGAGUUACAUAUGGAAAAAAAAAAGUGUUUGUGUAGAUACCCCAGCAGCGGCACGUGCAAAUAAGCAAGGCUUUCAGGGGCACUUAUAAAAAUACCAGGGAUAUACAUACAUUUCACAUAUUUUUAGACAUUGAUAUGCAAGACACUAUGGAUACUAGUUCUUGAACUUCCAUGCUAUUUUUCUUUGUUCCUUCAAAUUCAAAAUUUGGCAACUAGGUGCCCGAAGUCCUUUCAAGUGAUACAAUCCUGUGCACCCUCGUCAUUUCGUGUCUUAAAUGAUGGUGUUCAUAUCAUGUGCUCAAGCAUCCUGUGCAGCAUUGGAUUGAAAAUAAAAGUUCAGUAGCGGGUAUUGCAUUUUACCUCAGAAACUGAUAAACUUAGCUCGGAAACCUUGCCAGACCCCCACUUCCAACUUUAUUUAUCUUUUUUAGUUGACACCACCCUUCUUGGUUUUUGCUUGGUUCCAAGCAAUCAAAAUUUGCGGACCAGCUGGGAGAAAAAGCGCUAGUCCGGGGAAGUUGUUUGGAAAAUUCCUAUCAUCCUAUGCUUAUGAAAACUUCUACAAAAUCCCUGAAGAACUUGGUUAGGUGGUUAUAUUAAUUGUGGGUAUUCGCGACGUGUGAAGACAAGUAAUAAUCCAGCCAUUGUUACUAGUGAGUUCGAACAAGUUUGAGAUUGUCGAAAGUUAAUAUAAUUGGUAACAAGUUUGAGAAAUGGCCUAGAGCUUAGUGUGGGUCCCUAUCAUUGUUUCUUUACAUCGUAGAUUUAUGGUAUAGCUUUGUGAAGAUCCUUUAACACGAAUGCGCUUUUGACAUUCUGCAGUUUCAGCUGUUGGAUCAAUCAAUAUUAGCAACAUUUUGACGGGGAAAUGCAUCGCGAAAAUCUCCACCAGCAAUCCGACGCUCACGAUCAGCCCUCGAAGAAGAGGGGAAGGGGGCCGUUCUUCGGUCCAUAGCACCGUAAGAGAAGCCCUGGAAGACGUCACGGCGUUGUUCUACGACGAGGACAGGAACGAGAUCUACACGGGAAAUAAGCAUGGGUUGAUACAUGUGUGGUCCAAUUAGCCGACGAUCUCUUUGCGACGAAUCUCGGUUUUAGUUUUCUGUGUAAUUUGGUAGGUUCUUUUUGUAAAGAUAUAACCCACUCUUUUCUCCUUUUUUUUUCCCCUUCUUUUUUUGUCAUUUUCAUUUUGCCUUUUGUUUCUUUUUUACUUGUAAGUUCAAAUCGAUUUGUAUUUUUAUGCAGCGAAAUGCCCUAUAGGUACUGAUGUAAUGAACCUUUGCAGUUUUUACCAGACAAUUAAGAUUAUCGGUGUUCUACGUACGCAAAACGGUUAAAACUUCAGUGGAGAGCUACUUAACAAUGUCUUGUUGGGAAACUUUCGAUCUACUGUACUGUCGUGUAUUAAUUUUGCUUUCGUCCAAUGAUUACUGGGUAUUUUUUACUACUAAAUUUUUUUAAAAAAAUUAAAUUCUAGUGGAAAUGAUUAUAACUCUUGGAUAGAAUAAAAGUGACACCUGACAGAUGGAUUGAGACUCAACUCCUGGGAAGCUCCUUGCUUUGGGUUCUAUUUUGUGGAGGUCAAUGUUUCAAUUGUGUCAACAUUUGAGUGUAUAGUAGGCAUGAAAUUAAUUUGAAGCCAAACUCUGAAAUAUCUAAAUAGCUGGUAGCUGAGGAAACUUUUUAUUUUAAUAGCAAAAAGAAAAAGCUCUGUAUGUUCUAUUAUAAAAUAUAAAUUUUACAUUUCAUGAUUCUAUGGUUUAAGUAAUUCUUUUGGAUUUUCCAUAUUAAGAAAAGAGAUAUUGAUAAGAUAAAUAAAUUCUAAGGUUUUAGCAUUGCUCAUUUUAUUAAUAUAUUUAAUUCAUUUGAGGGAAGGAUUUCAAAUCAAAACAAAAAAAAUGUUGUGAUGUUUACUAUUAAAAUGUAAAAAAUAAAAAAAUAUAUAAAGCAGUUUGGAGUCCCUUUUUAAAGUGGUCGUCACGGCUCACAGAUUUCAAAGCGCAAUUUAUGAGUUAUUAUACUUAAUCUAAGAGAAAUAUUACGAAGAAAAAUAAAAGAAAAGAGUUCACUACUAUCUCCUCCUAAAAGAAAAAAAAAAAAUUAUAAAAAGAAAAAAAGAAGAAGAAGAAGGAAAUGGACAGUGUAAAAAUGCCAUAUACAAGGGAGGGUGGAGGGAUCUCUUAAUCUUCCGAUUAGAAAAGAAAACCCCUGGUAUGCAAAGAUUACUCAUAUCUCACCACAUUGCAUUGUUAACAAACCCACCGGUCAUGCCAUUUGCUCUUUCCUUUUCUCUGGUACUAAUGUAAAUCCCCCAUGUUAGCAAGGCUAUUUCUGUCAUUUCAUUCUGCGGAAUAUACAAAAGCAAUGCACACAAGUUAGAAGAAGAUAAUGGCUUAAUAAAUAAAUAAAAAAAAAUAGACAAUUUCUAAUAAGAGAACUAUUAUUUGUACAUUCAAAAAAUACACAUAAUAUUUUAUAUUUUUUUCAAAUUUUAUCGAUUCUUGUUUCACUAUAUUAUUAAUUAAAGAUUUAAAAAUCUCUACCUUGUCUUAUUUUUGAAUGUACUAGUGGCGCGGAAAUGCGAAACCGAUAAGUGAAAUUACCAUUCUGUCCUCGGUGCCGCCGCCGGAGGCUCAUUGGAGCCGGCUUGCUGCCCGACGAGCGCGGCGGCCUCCCGCAUCUCCGGCCGCUGCUCCGGGCUGGCGUCGGUGCACGCCGCGCAGAGCCGCAUGAGGCGCACCGCCGCCUCCGCUCUCCCCGCCGCCGCCGCCGCCGCCGACUGAGCGACGUCGGCGUCCAGCAUCUCGGCCUCGCGGCGCUCCGAUAUCGCCGACGCCAUCCACUGCACGACGUCGGUGCCGCCCUUGGUGUUGUUCAGGUACUGCGAGGGGAAUUUUCCGGUGAGGAGCUCGAGGAGCACGACGCCGAAGCAGUAGACGUCGGACUUGGCGGAGACGCGGCUGCGGUGCUGCAGGGCUUCCGGGGACUUGUAGGCGAGCAUGACGAGCGGGGCCUGAGCUGGGUUGACUAAGCCGAGGAGGCCGAAGUCGGCGACGGCCGGCUGGAAGUCGGCGUCGAGGAGGACGUUGCCCGACUUGAGGUUGCCGUGGGGGACUUCCAGGUCGGCCAGCUCGGCGUGGAGAUACGCCAUCGCGCGGGCAAUUCCCCGCGCGAUCUUCAGCCGCGUCGGCCAGUUCAGCGCCUUAUGAUCCGCCCCUCGGUCCCCUGAACACUAGUUAUUAUUUUAGUACCUCAAUAUAGUUUAUAAAUUUUAGCACACUUGACGUAGGCCUUCGUACUAUUGAUACUAUACCAGUCUAACUCGCUAUAUAUAUAUAUAUAUAGUUCUCUCGAGUCCGGCUAUUAUGCUAUUAAUAGCACAAAGGACUUGGUGCUACCAAGUUUUCCGCCGUUAGAUCUACCCUUUUGAUUAUUUUCACCCGUUAUAUCAUACUAUUCAACCAACCACCCACUCAACUCUAGAGGGUCAACAUCAUCCUAACCACACAUCUCUUAAUCCAAUGGCCAAAAACUUGGUAGCACUAAUAACUUGGUGCUAUUAAUAGCAUAGUAGCCUAGUUCUCAGGUAAUUUUAUUAUCAUAUAUAUAAAAUGUUAAUUUUUUUGAAUUUUUUUUUCAAGUACAUACGACUAAAUAAAUUAUUUAUAAUUACAGUGCUUUCUAUUACAUCCAAUCAAAUAUGAUAUAUAUAAUUAAUUACAACUAUUAUAUUUCUAACUAUAUGCAGUAUAUCUAAUCAAACGCCCCCUCUAAGAUGAAUAGAUGACAGUGUUUUAGCAAAGUUUUGGAAGACAAAAAGGUAGGCUUAGUUAGUUAAUUACCAUGAAGGAGGUAGAGGAGGCUGCCCUUCGGAAUAAACUCGGAAACUAUGAGCUUCUCCUCCUUGCGGUAGUGGUAUGCCAACGGCGUUAAGAUAUUCGGAUGCCGGAGCUGCCCGAGCCGAUGCAUCUCGGCGUCGAACUCUUCCUUGCCGACUCUAUUCAUGUCACGCAUCCUCUUAACCGCGACGGCCAGCCCGCUGGCCAUCACGGCUUUAUACGCGGAGCCAAGGCCGCCGUUUCCGAGCACCUCCGCCGAGGCCUUCAUGAGGUCCGGAAGGCCAAAGACACCUCUCUCUUCAUUAACCAUCGUCAGCUCUGCCGCUGCAUUGCCGCCGCCUCCGCCACCGCCGCCGCCGCCGCGGCUCGACCCUGAGCGCUUCUGCGUCGACGAGCCGCGCUGCUGCAGCAGUUGUUUCUGAUUGCUUACGUCAGCGGAGCCAGCGACAGCGGAUUCCAGCUGUGCAGUAUCGGCUGAUGUAUCGACGCCGAGAGUAUCGAAAACACGGUCGCGGCGGCGGCGGUUGCGCGCCACGAUUAUCGCCAGCAAGAGUGCGACGGCCAGCAACGCUAGCACGGCGAUCACGACGCCGCCGACCUUGUUGUCAUUAUUUCUGCCAUCAUGAGUAGUAGUAGUAGUAGUAGUGGCAUUCUGCGCCGACGGCAAAGCGGUGGGAUUUCCGAGAAACGCCGAGGCGCUGAACCGAGCGACGAGAGACGGUUCCACGGGUGGUCCGGUGAGGCUGUUGUAAGAAACGUUGAGCUGUUUGAGGGAGGGGGGGAGCGUGGUCGGGAGGGGCCCGUCGAGGCGGUUGUGGUCGAGGCGGAGCUCGAGGAGGCGGGUGGCGUUGGCGAGGGAGGCGGGGAUGGGGCCGGAGAAGGCGUUGUUGUCGAGGUAGAGCUUCUUGAGGUGGGGCAUGGAGGAGAAGAGGGAGGUGGGGAGGGGGCCGGAGAGGGAGUUGCCGGCGAGGCUGAUGGAGCGGAGGGCGGGGAAGCGGGCGAGGGCGGCGGGGUCGAAGGAGCCGGAGAGGCCGAGGCCGGAGAGGCGGAGGCCGGUGAGGAUGCCGCGGAAGCAGACGAGGCCCGGCCAGGGGGAGGAGGGGUCGCAGGGAGGGCUGCCGGCGGCGGCGGAGGACGACCAGGCGGAGAGGGCGGUGGCGUCGGCGUUGGGGAAGGAGGACUUGAAGAGGAGGAGGGCUGCCGCGUCGGAGGGAGGAGCGGCCGCCGCCGUCGGAAGAUCCGACAGCAGUGAUAGGAGGAGGAGGAGCGUAGAUGAGAGGAGAAUGACGGAGACGGCAGCGGCCAUUCGUGGAUGAAUCUUGGGGCCGCCGCUGCUCAUUGACGGGCUUUCUUAAUUUCAAUCUUUUGUCCUUUUUUUUCUCUAGCUUUCUGUUUGUUGGAAUUUUUUUUUUCUUUUUUUUAAUUUGCUACAAUGCAAUUAGGAGAGAGAGAGAGAGAGAGAGAGAGAGAGAGAGAGAGAGAGAGAGAGGUGGCUGUGAAACAAAAGCUAAGAAUAGAAAAACAGGGCCUAAGAGGAUGUUAAUUGGCAUUAUUGGUACAAUUGACCAGGUCAAUGAGGGGGGAAGGUUAUUAUUUACUAACUUGGUGUUUUUGACAGUGAAUUUUUAAAUAUGCUCCUAAGGGGGCCGUUUGGAUUGGGGAUAAGGGGUAGAAUAACCCUUUAUCCCCUUUAUACUCAAACACUAAUUUUUUAUUCGAGAAUAGUAAUUUUUGAAUAUCUAAAAUAAGCUGGUAUAACUAUUCCAUCAACUCCUUCAUUUUUUAUAUAUAGACCCACUAUUUUUCUUAUACUAUAUUAUCUAUCCAAACGCUAUUUUUCUUAUCCUUGAGAACAACCUCAUUUUUAUUCAAACGCUAUUUUUCUUAUUCACAUACUUGUAAUUAUUCCUGUUAAUAGCUAGUUUUUAUUUAUAUCCGAACCAAACGAUGCCUAGCUAAAGUUCAAAUCUUUCAAAAUAGUUUUUUAUACGACAAUAUUAUUCACUAAUAACAAUAUUGCGUGACGUACCGUUUUACUCAUGCAUAAAGUUAAAUUUUAGGGUAAACUUGAAAUUAACCGCCUCUCCCCUUUUGGUAUAGCAGCAUAUUUUUACUUUACUAUUUCGUGAUUUAAAAAUUUAUAUUUUGCUCCUCUCUUAUUUAAAUUUUAUUUUACUAAAAAAAUUUUUAUGUCAAAUGAGGCGGCAAAGUANUAAUUACCAUGAAGGAGGUAGAGGAGGCUGCCCUUCGGAAUAAACUCGGAAACUAUGAGCUUCUCCUCCUUGCGGUAGUGGUAUGCCAACGGCGUUAAGAUAUUCGGAUGCCGGAGCUGCCCGAGCCGAUGCAUCUCGGCGUCGAACUCUUCCUUGCCGACUCUAUUCAUGUCACGCAUCCUCUUAACCGCGACGGCCAGCCCGCUGGCCAUCACGGCUUUAUACGCGGAGCCAAGGCCGCCGUUUCCGAGCACCUCCGCCGAGGCCUUCAUAAGGUCCGGAAGGCCAAAGACACCUCUCUCUUCAUUAACCAUCGUCAGCUCUGCCACCGCUGCUGCAUUGCCGCCGCCUCCGCGGCUCGACCCUGAGCGCUUCUGCGUCGACGAGCCGCGCUGCUGCAGCAGUUGUUUCUGAUGGCUUACGUCAGCGGAGCCAGCGACAGCGGAUUCCAGCUGUGCAGUCUCGGCGGAUGUAUCGACGCCGAGAGUAUCGAAAACGCGGUCGCGGCGGCGGCGGUUGCGCGCCACGAUUAUCGCCAGCAGGAGUGCGACGGCCAGCAACGCUAGCACGGCGAUCACGACGCCGCCGACCUUGUUGUUGUUGUCAUUAUUUCUGCCAUCAUGAGUAGUAGUAGUAGUAGUAGUAGUAGUAGUAGCAUUCUGCGCCGACGGCAAAGCGGUGGGAUUUCCGAGGAACGCCGAGGCGCUGAACCGAGCGACGAGAGACGGUUCCACGGGUGGUCCGGUGAGGCUGUUGUAAGAAACGUUGAGCUGUUUGAGGGAGGGGGGGAGCGUGGUCGGGAGGGGCCCGUCGAGGCGGUUGUGGUCGAGGCGGAGCUCGAGGAGGCGGGUGGCGUUGGCGAGGGAGGCGGGGAUGGGGCCGGAGAAGGCGUUGUUGUCGAGGUAGAGCUUCUUGAGGUGGGGCAUGGAGGAGAAGAGGGAGGUGGGGAGGGGGCCGGAGAGGGAGUUGCGGGAGAGGUAGAGCGACUUGAGGGCGUAGAGGCGGGACAUGGAGGCGGAGGGGAAGGGGCCGGAGAGGGAGUUGCCGGCGAGGCUGAUGGAGCGGAGGGCGGGGAAGCGGGCGAGGGCGGCGGGGUCGAAGGAGCCGGAGAGGCCGAGGCCGGAGAGGCGGAGGCCGGUGAGGAUGCCGCGGAAGCAGACGAGGCCCGGCCAGGGGGAGGAGGGGUCGCAGGGAGGGCUGCCGGCGGCGGCGGAGGACGACCAGGCGGAGAGGGCGGUGGCGUCGGCGUUGGGGAAGGAGGACUUGAAGAGGAGGAGGGCUGCCGCGUCGGAGGGAGGAGCGGCCGCCGCCGUCGGAAGAUCCGGCAGCAGUGAUAGGAGGAGGAGGAGCGUAGAUGAGAGGAGAAUGAAGGAGACGGCAGCGGCCAUUCGUGGAUGAAUCUUGGGGCCGCCGCUGCUCAUUGACGGGCUUUCUUUAAUUUCAAUCUUUUGUCCUUUUUUUUUCUCUAGCUUUCUGUUUGUUGGAAUUUUUUUUUUCUUUUUUUUAAUUUGCUACAAUGCAAUUAGGAGAGAGAGAGAGAGAGAGAGAGAGAGAGAGAGAGAGAGAGAGAGAGAGAGAGAGGUGGCUGUGAAACAAAAGCUAAGAAUAGAAAAACAGGGCCUAAGAGGAUGUUAAUUGGCAUUAUUGGUACAAUUGACCAGGUCAAUGAGGGGGGAAGGUUAUUAUUUACUAACUUGGUGUUUUUGACAGUGUGUUUUUAAAUAUGCUCCUAAGGGGCCCGUUUGGAUUGGGGAUAAGGGGUAGAAUAACCCUUUAUCUCCUUUAUACUCAAACACUAAUUUUUUAUUUCGAGAAUAGUAAUUUUUGAAUAUCUAAAAUAAGCUGGUAUAACUAUUCCCAUCAACUCUUCCAUUUUCUAUAUAUAGUUAACCCACUAUUUUUCUUAUUCUAUAUUAUCUAUUCAAACACUAUUUUUCUUAUCUUCGAGAACAACCCUAUUUUUAUUCAAACGCUAUUUUUCUUAUCCACAUACUUAUAACUAUUCCUGUUAAUAACUAGUUCUUAUUUAUAUCCGAAUCAAACGGUGCCUAGCUAAAGUUCAAAUCUUUCAAAAUAGUUUUUUAUACGACAAUAUUAUUCACUAAUAACAAUAUUGCGUGACGUACCGUUUUACUCAUGCAUAAAGUUAAAUUUUAGGGUAAACUUGAAAUUAACCGCCUCUCCCCUUUUGGUAUAGCAGCAUAUUUUUACUUUACUAUUUCGUGAUUUAAAAAUUUAUAUUUUGCUCCUCUCUUAUUUAAAUUUUAUUUUACUAAAAAAAUUUUUAUGUCAAAUGAAGCGGCAAAGUAAAAGUUUUUAAAAAAUCACUGAAUUUCAAAGUAAAAGAUGCACAAAACCAUAGGAUAAUGAAGCACAACUUUUGAACCAUAGUCUAACAAAGUAAACAUGAGCUAAACCACAUAAAAGCUAAGUGCAAUUUUUUGAACCAGGGUAGCUGUGGUCCCAAGUUCGAAUUCUAGUUGAUUUAUAUUUUCAGUUAAGUUUAUUUCUAAAUGAAAUAAACGAAACGGAUAACGUGCUACCUAUCUCUCUCUCAAAAAAAAAAAACUUUUUGAACCAAGAUAGGACAUAAUAGAAAUGCACAGUACCAUAGGGGAGCAAAUUCAAAGAGCGAUGUUACAUGCACAAUCUCAAAUUAGGUAUAAAUUUUAAAGUUAAAGUACCAUUGACCGACUCAAUUCAAACAAAUUGAAAUACUAAAUGAUAAAAUUAAAUUUUUUUUUAAAUUAAAUAAAAUUAUUUAAAAUAAUUCAUAGCUCAAAUAAGUUCUGUUCGUUCUACGUAUAGAAUCCUACGUAUUACAAUUCAAUCCCCGUGGAAACUACAUCUCUCUCGGUCUUCAGAGCAUUAAAUUCUCCUCAUCCUAUCAAAAUAUAUUUGGGCCAAAGACAAGGCCCAUCAACGGCCCAUAAACGGCCCAAUACAUUUUGGUGGGCACACACAUGUAACGUAUCGCGCGAAAAUUCGCGAGAAAUUCCUCAACGCAUAUUAUAAAAUAAAAUAAAUACUCGUUUUCCAGACGCUUCGGUCCCUCGUCGCUCUCUCUUCCCCACUCUUCGUCCUCCCGUUUCGCCCUUUCCCCCCCUCGGCUUCGAGGGUUUUUUUUUUUUUUUUUUUUUUUUUUUUUUUUUUUUUUUUUUUUUUUUUUUUUUUUUUUUUUUUUUUUUUUUUUUUUUGGGCUCCUUCCUCGGCUCCUAUUCCCUUCGAAACCCUGACUCGUGCCUCCCUCGAUCGGCUCCGGAUCGACGUCGAAAGCCGUGCGAAACCCUAAUUGUAUCCCUCUUUUAGCGAUCGGAGUUCGAUCGUUGUCGCUUGGAGCUGUAGGGACGAUGCAGCAGCAGCAGCAGCAGCAGCAGCAGCAACGGCUGAAGCAGCAGCAGCAGCAGGCGCUGAUGCAGCAGGCGCUGCUUCUGCAGCAGCAGCAGCAGUCGCUCUACCAGCACCCGAGCCUCCUGGCGGGUCCUCAGGUGGGAGACUUGUUGGGAAUCGUCUUAGGAGCUGUCGAUUUUGCAGUGCGAAUUGUUAAAUUUGGUUCCUUUAAUCGGUUCCUUUUUGUUUUAUUGGCCUGUAGAUUGUUUUGGGUGGAUUAGUGUUUUCGCUGUGGAGUUGUGAAGGUUUUUGGUGUGAUUAGAUAUUUAGGAAGUGGCUUUUAGUCGAUUGUUGCCUUUUGUUGCAUUCGAUCGUCCUAAACCAAUUGGUUUUUAGGGUUUAUAGUUGUGUUUGUAGUGGAUUUUGUAACUGGCGUUUAGGGUUUUCGCCGCAGGUUUAUGAAGUGUUUGUGAAAUUAGGUGUCAAGGAAGUAACUUCAGCUGCUCGUUGCUUUUCAUUGCAUUCAAUCCUCUUGAAGCUAUUUGGUAUUACAGUGUCAUUUGUUAAAUUUGGUGUCUUUAGUCGGUUUAUUGCGUUUCUAGGGUAUCUUGUUGUGUUUGUUGUGGGCUUCGAAAGUGGCGAUCUGGGCUUUAUGCUGUGGAUUUAUGAUGGGUUUGAAAGUAGCUUUUAGCUGCAUGUUGCUUUUCUUUCCAAUCAAUCUUCUUAAAAGUUACUUAGUUUUGGAGUGUCUGUUUAUUAAAUUUUAGUGUCUUUAAUUAGUUUCUUGCAUUUGUAAGGUCUUCAGUUGUGUUUGUAGUUGGUUUUUCAUUUUUGAAAGUGGCGAUUUGGGUUUUCGCAGCGGAUUUAUGACGGGUUUGUGAAAUCAGGUGUCAAAGAAGUAUCUUUUAGCUGCUUUUUGCUUUUUAUUGCAUUCAAUCGCCCUAAUGUUAUUGGAUUUUGCGGUGUGAUUUACUAAAUUUAGUUCCUUUUAUCGACAUUUUCAAGGUUUUUCUAUCCGUAGCAUGUUUUAAGUGGAUUCUGAAAGUGGCGAUUAGGGUUUUGGUGGUGAAUUUCUGAUGGAUUUGUGAAGUUUGGUGUCAAGGAAGUAGCUUUUAGGCGCUUGUUGCUUUCUAUUGCUCUCAAUUUUGUGUCUUUGAUCAUUUUCUCGCAUUUCUUGGUGUCUCCGAUGUGAUUUAAGUGGAAUUUAGAAGUGGCGAUAAGGGCUUUGAGGUGAAACUUAUGACGUGUUUGUGAAGUUGUGUGUCAAGGAAAUGCUUUUAUGCACCUGUCGGUUUUAUUAGAUCGUCUUAAAGCUAUGCUUUCUCUACAUUUCCUGUUUGUUUUAAGUGGAUGUUUGAUGGUCGCGAUAAGGAUAGUGGGGUGGAUUUAUUAUGCAUUUUUGAAAUUAGGCAACUUGCAAGUAGCAGCUUUGAGUCUUUUGUUGUUUUUUUUGUUGCAUGCAAUCAUCUUUGGUUUUGCAGAGCAAUUUGUUACAGUUGGUGUAUCUUAUCAGUUUCUCUUUUUUGUUUUGGUUUUUGUUGUUGUUGUUGUUGUUUUGUUUUUUUUCCUUUUCUUUUGGCAUAGGACUCUUAGGGACUUUUGGGGAUGGAUUUAUGAUGGGUUUGUUGAAUUAUGUCUCUUGGAAGUUGCAUUAAGUUGCUUAUUGGUUUUACUGCUUGAUGUUCUGGAGUUUCCUUUAAUUUUUGCCACUAUAUGAUUCAAUAUAAACAAGAGUUUUUUUUUUUCCUUCUUUUGGUGAGUUGGUAGGUUCUAUUACGUUUUUGAAAGAUGAAUUUCACAGUAAUGCUGGUGAAAAUUAUUAAUAUAUGCAACAUUUGAAGCUCCUUAAAUUUAAGUUGGAAGUUUGGUGGAAAAUCUCGCGACAUUUGAAAACAAUUUAUCUUUAAAUGGCUAUUGCUUGUUUGCUUCUUCCAUUUUAUCACAUUUUUGUCUUCUUGCUACUUGGGUAUUUGGUGUUCACCCUUAACAAUUUUUAUUUGUUUGGUUUCUCCUUGGGCUUUAGAUGUUUCAUAUCUAUAUAUAUUUACUACUUCUGUGCAUACUGUGAACCGUAGGUUAGUACAACUUUGCUUGUACUAAUAUAGGAAGAAUGAAAUUAUAUUAAUGCUUCCACUUGUCUUAUAUUCAUUUACAUGAGGCCAUUAUGAAAUUUUGAAUUAUGUUUUUCUGUGGUGUAGGCAUGCUAUGUGGGGGCUAUUUUUUCCUUUUCUUGUUUUUUUACACUUUUAUUUUGCAGAUAGAGCCAAUCCUGAGUGGAAAUCUGCCUCCUGGUUUUGAUCCAACUACAUGUCGUAGUGUGUAAGUCUUGUUAUUUAACCUUAUUUCCUAUUUUGAUAUGAGAAUGAUCAUUUUGCUUGGAAUCCUUGUAUACCUAUAGCGAGGAUAUGCAUAGCUGUAUGCAGUAUUUGUAUGAUUAGACGUUUAAUGUUUUUCUGUGCCUGAAAUACCAUUUUAUGGCAAUAAGCUUAUUGAUAAUGUUGCAAGUCGCUUCGACCAUUUAUCACCUGAGAAUUUAUAAAUUUGCUAUAUUAUGUAUGGAGAUGGGCUUUGCAUUGUUUGUGUGUGUGUGUGUGUGUGUGUGUGUGUGUGUGUGUGUGUGUGUGUGUUUUCCCAGUAGUUGUUUAUUCUUUGCUUAUUAUCCUGUGGUAAAUGUAGGUAUGUUGGCAAUGUGCAUGUUCAAGUAACUGAAGCACUACUCCAAGAGGUUUUCCAGAGUACUGGUCCAGUUGAAGGAUGCAAGCUCAUUAGGAAAGAAAAGGUUAAUUUAUUCUUUUCAAAUCUCCUGUGUACUUGAAUUUCAUUACACUUUGGACCAUAGAGUGUGAAAAAGACUACAUUUAUUAUCUGUAUAUGCAUGUGCUUCAAUUAGGGAUUUUAGUGUUUGUUAUGUACAUUUGAAUCCUUGCAUGUGCUUCAACCUUAUUUCACUGCUCUUUUUUCUUAUUCUGCUGUUCUUGCACUAUUUGCUUUAUGUUGCUUCCAUGAUAAAUUUUGUAAUAAUUUUUGACUUGUAUCAUUGCAGUCAUCUUUUGGUUUUGUUGACUAUUAUGACCGCAGAUCUGCCGCACUCGCUAUUAUGACGCUUAAUGGGAGGCAAUUGUAAGCUGAAUAUAAUAUAUAUUUUUUCCUGUCGCUGCCUUAUGAUCUCAACUUUUCCAUUACACUUCAAAAUUUCAAAAAUGCAGGUUUGGUCAGCCUAUUAAAGUUAACUGGGCAUAUGCAAGUGGGCAGAGAGAGGAUACAUCAGGUUCAAUUUAGGGAUUUUGGUGAAAGAUCCACUUCUUUUUCAAUUUUGUAGUUUCAGACCUUUCUCAUUCUUGAUACUUUGGGCCAAAAUUUCUUUUCUUUUCAUGGGCUAGAAAACCCUCAUUCGACAUUCCAAUAUAAAGAUGCACUGAUGAUUCCAAUUAGGGGCAAUAGAUAUCUUGGUCCAAAGUUGCAAAAAGGAUGUAUGUGAAAUCGAAUUGCAGGAAUGAAAUGAAAUAGAAAUGGACUGCUUUUGUGAAAGGGUCUUUAAUUUUAGAAACUUUCCGUACAUUGUAUUAUUAUCACGACUUUGUCUUUUGGCUAGUAAAUUUUCAUUUUUGCCUUUUUCUGGAAACAGGGCAUUUCAACAUUUUUGUUGGGGAUCUUGCCCCUGAAGUCACUGAUGCUACCUUAUAUGCAUGCUUCUCUGUUUAUCCUAGCUGCUCGUAAGCAUUAAAUGGCCUACUUCUUCCAUAUGUUGCUAAUCGAGUUAUUCUAUUAAAUCAAUUCUUGUAGAAUGAUGAUUAAGUUCAUUUGUUCUAAAAUUUACUAUUACUAAUCUGUCAUCUUGAUUUUUCCCUCAAGUCAUUUUUUUUUCUCCUCCCCUUUUUAGCGAUGCUAGGGUUAUGUGGGACCAAAAAACAGGGCGUUCAAGAGGAUUUGGAUUUGUUUCAUUCAGGAAUCAGCAGGUUAGAUUUUGAAUGCACUGCAAACUUGAUAUUUUAGUAAUUAAUUAUCUAAACACUCCCUAAUAUCAUACAAUUGUAUAUUCUUUUGGCAGGAUGCACAAAGUGCUAUAAAUGAUUUGACUGGUAAGCUCUAUUUCUUUAGCUUGGAAAGCUGAAUUUGUAAUUCAAAAUACAUCUGUGCUUUUAGAUAAUUUUUGGUCUUUUGCUCUUCCUUCCUUUUCUUCGUCCUUUUGGAUUCUUAUUUUUGGUUAUAUGGAAUUUGCCGAUCCAAAUGUAGUACGAUACUAGGAAUUUAGCUUCGUGCCACUUUCGCCUGUCCAUGGAAUGCCUUCUCUACUCUAGAAAGUGUAAGCUUCCAUAAAUUACUAGCAAAAUAUCUAGAGCAUUUACUAUGGUUGGAAGCAGUAAAUGAGCAUUUGUGCUCCUGAAGUUGAUGCUGUAACUUGAAGCACCUGCUUCUACUGAGGCAAAACUCUUUAAGGCAUUUUAAUUUGCAAAAGCAUGGACCUUCUAUUCGACCACAUUAUCAAUCAUACAGGAGUUGAAAUUCAAAUGUAAACCGCUAGAUGUGAUUCUUCAGUAUCUAAUAGUCGUAUAUUUUUAGAAUUGUAAGUUUUAAAUAUCUAUUGUCAGGGAUCAUGUAAUCUCAAAAUUCAAUGCUCUCAUUAUGUAUGAAAGCAUUGCUCAUUGCAUAUGAAAGGUGAUACUUGAAACUUGUGGUUUAUCAUGUAGAGGCCUUUUUAAUACUGUAGAUACAUCCAGUGGCUUAGAAUUAAGAAUGUAGAUUGAAUUUAAAAUACUGCUCCAUGGUGGAGUUAGUCAAGGCAAUAAUUUCCUUUGUUUGGGCUGCUCUACUCAAACAACACUUCAGUAAAAGCUUCGGUUGGUCAACAUUUCAUUACUCCUUUACUGCCUCAAUCUUUGAGGGGUGCCUAGUCCGACAGUCAACAUUUUGUGUUCCUCACAGGGAAGUGGCUUGGGAGCCGACAGAUCCGUUGCAAUUGGGCGACAAAGGGUGCUAGCUCUAAUAAUGAAGACAAACAAAGUACAGACUCCAAGAGUGUGGUGGAGCUGACUAAUGGUUCAACAGGUGCUUCUUUGCGGACUUAAAUAAGCUUGUGUUAUAUUUACACAAAGUUAGCAGAACUUGUUUGUGUCUGAUCUACCUACCAGUAAAUUGUCAUAUUUUCCUUUUCUCUUUGUAGUCAUUUAGAAUUUGUGGAUCAAUAGCUUGUCUUCAAUUUUCUCUUUUUUUUUUUAAAAAAAUAGUGAUUCAUUUACAUUUCCUCAUAUCUGCAUGUUUGAUGCUUUCUCAGUGAUAGUUUUGGAGCAGAUUUUCGUUUUUAUUAGCGUCUAAUGUUUAGUCCUUCCUGUACAUAGUGUACUUCUGUGUUUCUUUGUUGUUUAGGUAUUAGGUACUAAUGAUUUACUCGGCUUGUAGCCCAGAUUGCUAUGAAUCUUAACAAUUCUUGCUUAAAUACAGGAAAGAUUGGAUAAAUUUGUUGGCUCCUUUUUUUUUUCUGAGUUAUGUCGCAGUUUUUUUAAAACGUUUGAAACCUAUAUAGUAUAUAGUUAGGGAUAUUUGAUUUGCUUCAUCUAUGCCUGAACAGUAUGUUAGUAUAAUUGGUCGUGAAAUUGCCCUCCCAAAAACGACAUGCUUAUAGAAAAUUAUGCUUUAGGAAGAUGCUUGCCACUCUCAGCCGAAAUCAAGUAGCAUUGAAGAAUUGGAACUCGACCCCAUUUCCAAUUUCUUUCAUUACUUUAGUUGAGCAUGCACUUCUUUGAAAAUUGGAAUUGAAUUGUCCGAGUUUAUACAGCUCCUGAUCUUAUUUGAGAUAUCUAAAUAAAUUCAUAAAUCAUUUUAACUUCAUUUUUUUUCAGCCAAAAGGUUAUUUACCCCCAAAUAUCUUUCUUGGGCAGAAGAUGGCCAAGAGAAUGCGAAUGAUGAUGGCCCAGAAAAUAACCCACAAUAUACAACUGUUUAUGUCGGCAACCUUGCUCAUGAGGCAAGCUCUCUCUCUCUCUCUCUCACACACACACACACACAGACACACAUACACACUUCAAGCUUAUUAAUAUAUGUAUUUUUUAACAUGGGUAUCUUGCUUGUGAUGCCCUUUUGCUCCUUCAGGAUGUAACAGUUAAUGAACUGCUAACUGGCAAUACUAUGCACCUCCCUUGCUCUGUCUCUUUACAUAUAUGUUCCUGUGAAAUCUUCUAUCUAUGCAUAAACCUUAAUAAAGUCGUUUGAUAUAUGCCACUUAAAGUGUAUUACCUCAUGAAUAACCUGUCCUUAUUUGGGUAGUCAUCUAGUUCAUCGGAGGAAAUUACUUUCUUUUCCCCCACCCAAAUGGGGGCAUCUCUGUAAUUGGAAUGCCAUAUAUGUAAGAAUUCGAAAUUGUUAGGUGGACAAUUUUCUAGGGGUAUAAAUGCAAAUGUCUCUUGUUUAUUAGCACUGUGAUGAAUGUAAUUCCAUAUAUGCCUUCCACUAGUUGGCAGUAUCAUAAAUUUUCUUGUAUCAAAAUGCUAUAAAAAUGCCCUUAAAAUCCUUGAAAGAAUUAUGAGCGUCUCUUUGUAGAGCACUUGGAGUUUGUAAAUGUCAUUCGAUAAAGGAUAUUUUGAAGUAUUUAUGUAUCUUUCUAGAGUAUGUGCUGCGUAAUUUUAAACUCUCGAGGGUAUGGACAAAAUUUUGAUGUUUUUGAGGGUACUUUUGAAAAUAAUCUGUAAAAGGAUAAUUUUGUAGGAGUGCAUGAGGAAGUAUCGCUCUUCUACUUCUAUUGAUUCUUACCUUUCAGUAUUUACAAAUGGCAGGUCACUCAACUUGAUCUACACCGCUAUUUCCACAGUAUUGGCGCUGGUGUUAUCGAGGAGGUCCGCAUUCAGCGUGACAAGGGGUUUGGUUUCGUGAGAUUCAGCAACCAUGCGGAAGCUGCCAUGGCUAUUCAGAUGUCGAACGGCCGAGUUCUAGGCGGAAAGGCAAUGAAGGUACCGACAAAUCCUUCACUUUACCAUAAAUGUAAAAUAGGACAUGUUCUUUAUAUGUUUAUGAUAGUGUUGAGUUUGAAAUUUAGGAUUUGGUUGGGGAACGUGGACGCCUAUGUUCAAAGGUUGCGGGUUUUGUGGUUCUUUAACUUUUUAUACUCAAUAUGGUCUUGAUGAAGAGCAAGAUCGAUAUACAAACCAUUUAGUUACCAAAUUGAAUUUUCAGAAAUUAAAGCAUAUAUGCUGAUAUAACAAUUUAAAUCCGAAAAACAGAUCCAAUUCAGGGGCCAGUUUCCAAAUUCCCUAAUUGGUUUCUUUUGCCAAGUAUGAUGUACCUUUUGAUGAUAAUCUCGUGACUCCUUUUGUUGUUCUCAGUGUUCAUGGGGAAGCAAGCCAACUCCACCCGGUACGGCUUCAAACCCGCUGCCCCCUCCCGCAGCCGCCACCGGCCCCUCCUUCCCAGGAGGCCUCUCGGCGGCCGAACUAUUAGCCUACGAGCGCACUCUCGCGAUGAGCAAGAUGGGCUCGAGCCAGGCCGUUCUGAUGCACCACGCUCAGAAGCAGGCAGCAGCCGCCGCUGCAGCAGCCGCCAUGGGGAUGGCAGGGCCCGCCGGAGCUGCCAGCCAGGCCAUCUAUGACGGCGGCUUCCAGAACGUCAGCGCCACGCAGCAACUCAUGUACUACUAAUUGCCCACGCGAUCGCCCUGCGUGCCCCUUUUAACUUAUAUACCCCCCUUGCUAUCGAAAACUUUCUGUCGAGUUGUAUUUGUGUUUGUUUCUACUGCCAUACGCUUGAUUACGAGAACGAUUAUCUGUAUCGCACGUGCUGCGCGAGCACGUGCUUAGUGUUGUUGUACCGGCAACGUACAAGGAGUGUUCUGCGAAGGAGAUAUAUGCUUCUUGUUGGGGAUGUUGUUUAUGUUUACAUUUUCUCCAUCAUUAUGUAUGUUUCUUUUGAAUUGUAUUACUCUUUGUUACUUUUAAAUGCUUUUCUUUGUAAUGUUUCUGUGGGGUGGAGUAAGGGCCUGUUUGGAUGUCAUAGAAACUUGUAGUAAAUUUAUAGUUUUAGAGCAUUUAUUAUUAUUAUUAUUUUUUUUUGAAAAAGCGUUCGUAUUUAUAAAUGCUUGUUUUGAUGCCUGUUUUGGAGCAUUUGUAAAUUUGUCGUAAUACACAUUUUCCUACAACUACGGAGUUGUGCUCACUCCGUGUGGUUUAGCAUAGUUUAAUUUUAUCAUCCAAUAAAUCAAAAAAAUUGUGUUAGCUAUUCUGUAGUUUAAAAAGUUCUACUUAAUUAUACAAAUUUUACUUUAUUAUUUUAUUUGAUAGUAUAGUUUUAAAAUAAAAAUAGAGAUGAAAUUAUAAAAUAUUAAAAUAUAAUUUUUAAACAACUGGGUGACAAAAUAUAAAUGAGCUAAAUCAAAUUCUAUAGGUGGACAGGGCCUGGGUUUUAGUAGUUUGUACGGUCCAUGGGCCGUAGCCAAAUUUGGGCCGGAUCCGGGUACAAUAGAAAGUCCGUUACAGGGUCGCAUUAUUGACUCUGCCUCUACGUUUCUCCUCGUCGUCCUCUUCAGCCUCCCCUUCUUCUUCGGAAACUCUCGCGACCUCUCCCUCGAUUCGGCUUGAUCGGUGGCGGCAAUGGCGGCGGCGGAGGAGGAGGGGGGGAGGAGGAGGGGGAGAGUGGCGGUGGUCGUCCUCGGCGACAUCGGCCGUAGCCCCCGCAUGCAGUACCACGCCCUUUCCCUCGCCCGGCAGGUACUUUACCCGAGAAUUAGGGUUUAAGUUUCAUAUCUCCGAUUCAAAGUGCCACGAUCUCCGUGUAGGGUUCUGAGAUUUGUGCGUAGAUUACGUUUUGUUAGGUUUUAGUUUGUUACUUACUCUUUGCGGUGAUAAUCUACUAAGAAGAGGGCGUGCAAAGUAAAUUGUUGAGGCGAGAUCAGAGAAAUGGCAACUUUGUUGUUGUUGUUGUUGGAUAUGAUGUAUGGAAAUAGGUGUAGCUCCUGUAUUCUCAUCAUAUUGCGACUUUGUCCUCUAAUUUGACUUGAACACUUCAAUUUUUCAUAUAUAUUGUACUUAUAGCCCUCGACGUUAAAAAACAAAAAAGAAAAAAAAAACUAAAAAUAAGAAGUUUGCUCUUCGGCUAUAGAAUCUAUUUGUUUGUGCAAAAUCUAUUUUUUGUCGUGUUAUAGUGUUCGUCAUGUUUUAGGUAUCUUCUUGCAAAAUUGGUGUUUAGGGUAUCUUCUUUUAGUUGAUAUAAUUGCUGGUUACUAACUUGGUUAUCUUUAUAGGCAGAUUUAGAUGUCGACAUUGUUGCCAAUGGAGGUAUUUUUUUUAGCAGUAAUCAAGUUGUCUACUGUCAAUUUUCCAGUUGACAUUGACCUGAUUGGUAAUUUUCUUUCCUUCUCUUGUAACAUUGUAUAAAUAAACAGGUAGUGAUCCUCAUAUGGCCGUAAAAAGCAACCCAUUGAUUCAUCUUCAUGAAAUGGUAUCGGUUAUUAACCAGUUUACCAUCUAACUUUUUCUUUUGGCAUACCUCUUCACAUUUCUGUGCACUUCCUUUGUUAUUAAAAUGCGAUCCUUUUCAGAAAUCAGUACGCCUAGAAGGAAUAUCGAAAAUUUCUGGCGCCUUGGCACUCAUACUUAAAGCUGCGAUCCAGUUUGUUAUAUUGGUUUGGUUUCUGUGUUUCAAAAUUCCUCGUCCAGAUUUUUUCUUUGUUCAGGUGAGUCUAUUUCUCUGUAAUACAUUGUUUUUAUUACUAGUAUUUCAUUAUCUUAGCUCUACUUGUGUAUUUUUAUGAUGUUCAAUAACCAAUUCCUACCUUGGACUACAGUGGGUUGCACUAGGUAGCUCAAAACUUGCGGGAAACUUCAAUUAAGCAAACUAUAAAAAUAGAUACUCAUGGAUUUUGGUUUUAACUUGUUUAAUUUUCCUUGUCUUACUCUUAGUCUGAGUAGGCAUUGGUGGUGUGUUGUGGUUACUUGUUGAGUUUCAUCCAAAUCCGAUGAAAAUAAAAUAGAUUCCUAGCAAAAUAGGAUUGAGCUUAUAUUGAUACGCCAGCAGUUGUUGAUACGAGUAAUAAUGUUCUUGUCCUUAAUCUUUGUGCAUUUGCCUAUGUUUAGGUGUAUUCACCAUGCAGUCAUCUCUCAGAAUAUAUAAUUUUUAUACGUAAUGUUUCUAAAUCUUCAGAAUCCGCCAUCUGUUCCCACAUUGGCUGCAGUCAAAUUAUGUAGCUGGUUAAGGAAAUCUGAGUUUAUCAUUGAUUGGCACAACUUUGGAUUUUCAUUGCUUGGGUUGUCUCUUGGAAGAGGUCAUAUUAUAGUGAAGAUCUAUCUAUGGUAGUAAGCGGUCCUUCUCCCUUUUUUCCUAAUAUUUUCUGGCUCACUGAAUAUAUUCAUCUAUAUAUUCUUUCACUAUUGGGUAUUUAGCUAUUUAAUAAUAUUGGAUCUUUAUGAAUUCCAAAAAUUUGUAGGUUUGAAAAAUUUUUUGGGAGGAUGGCAAAUGGUUCCUUCUGUGUCACGAAAGCGAUGCAACAUGAACUUGCUCAAAAUUGGGGAAUCAAGUAAUGUUGACUGGUCAAUCGUUUACUUUUCAUGAAAGAAAAUUCAUGUUAGUUUUUAUUUUACCGUGUUCCUUUAUAUUGUCAGCGCAACAGUUCUUUAUGAUCAGCCCCCUGAAUUUUUCCAUCCCACUUCACUCAAGGAGAAGCAUGAGGUGAACCAUUGACUUUUUUUUUUUUUUUCUUUUCGGUCCUUCUCUUUUACUAUUUUCAUUGUGUGACCUUAAGACAUGUCAUAGUUGUUUACUAGGUUGGAGAAUGAUAUCUGUAAUCCACAAGAAAUUCGUGACUGCAUCUCUGGUAAUUCAUUGUCAUAACUGCUUUGUAUCUCUACCUCAUUAAGCAGCAGCUUUUAGAUACCGAGGGUCUUUCUAACAAAUAAUUUGGAGCUCUGUUUAUCGCUCGAAGUUAAAUUGAGAUUCUAAGCACCAGUUGUACGAGCUCCAAUUUAAAGCUUAUCUGCAAGGAGCCAUGUCGGAGAUUUUAAUUGAAAAGCUUUUUAGUGCUUUGAAUAAUUUUAUUCUAGAAGCACUUGUGCAGAAGCUUAAGCAAGCAAACUAGCAUUUACUGAUAUGUGACUUUUCUAAGUGGCUUCUUCUCUUCUUUACAGAGCAAAGAGGCCGAGAUAGUGGUUCUUCCAAUCAAUUACACAAUACUCUUUUUACCGCUCAGAGUGGUGAUGGCUUUUUCAUGAAGUCAAACAGGCCUGCUCUUGUUGUCAGCAGCACAAGUUGGUGAGCUAUUUCUGAUCUAGGUCUUAUAAUUUGAUCGGCAAUACCUAAUAUGGCUUUAUUAUUUACAAUAAUACAUGGAUAUAAAUCUGGAUAUGAACCUGUUACAUGAGAUCUGCUUUUCUUUUUCUUCACUAAGGUUGUGCUUGUUGGGUGGCCAUUAUGCAUUCUUUGUGGUUUUAUACUUCACUACUGCAGAUUAUGGUUUCUAUUAUUUGGCGCACUUCAGUAACCCAUGUAUUGAAGUGCCAAUAACUUCUUUUUUCCUUUUUUCUUUUUUGUUUGAGAUGUGGAGAGAAAGGUAGCACAUGUGAAGAACCAAUAACUUAAACAAUUUAUUUUGGAGUUUAUUUUUCAAGUAUAUAAUAUUAAUGUAUGCAUUGGAGCUUAAGCAUACCAAAAUUAGGACUGGCAUACCAAAAUUGAAGUAUGUUUGACUGGCAAGCAAGAUUAUCUAGAUGAACUUGCCCAGAAAUAGAAACAAGGCAAUUCUUGCAUCUAUCUUAUGCGAAAGAACAGAAAUAAAUAAAAGUAGACAAUUUUCUGCUUAUUCAAUCAGGGACCAUUUUGCAUAUCUUUGACAUAAUCACAUUAUAGUAUGUGCUCCUGGAAUAAUUGCUGAACCGCUUGACCAAAAUUCUUCUAUCUAAUUCAGGACUCCAGAUGAAAAUUUUGGUAUACUUCUAGAAGCUGCUGUUAUGUACGAUAGGCGUGUUGCUAAAUCCUUGAAUGAAGAUGAUUCCAUCGAUGAGGAAAAGCUCUGGAUUGAUAUUAACAAUGGCAAACAGUAUUGUUACCCGAGAUUACUGUUCAUUAUCACAGGUGUAUUUUUUGGUAUUUGAUUGCAUCAAGGGUCCUACCGUCCUAGUAUAACGCUCUCCCUAUUUUUUCCAAUAUUUACAAUUUGGUCUCCUUAACCUUCUCAUUUCAUUGCAAUCUUAUUCCUUUUCUUAAGUUUCUCCAUGAAAUUGCAUGGUGAUAUCCACAUAAUUGUUAUCUAAUUAUCACAUGACUUUUUGAACUCAUUGAACAAUCACAUGAGCAUUUUGAUCCAAUUUAACUAAGGGAAAUGAUGUAGAUUACAAUGGCUUGCAAAGAUUAGGGAUCUGAUUGUAAUAAUUGAAAGGUUGGGGACUGAACUGAAGCUACACUUUGUGAUUGAUGAUCCCCAUUGCAAUUUACUUGCUUGUGCUGGAUAGCUUUGGUUGAAUUUAAUGUAUAAAUAUUACCAUUAGUACAAUGCUUUUUAAAUAAUGUCAUUUUUAUAGGUAAAGGGCCUGAACGGAGAAAAUAUGAAGAGCAGAUAAAGAAGUUAAAAUUGAGGAGAGUGGCCUUUCGAACGAUGUGGCUAUCGGCGGAGGAUUAUCCAUUAUUACUAGGUAGACAUACCCACUUGUCAGAAAUUGCAUUUCGUAAUCCUUUUAUGUUUACCUAUGAGACCAUCUAAUUUGGAAGACAUUUUCCAGGUUCAGCAGAUCUAGGCGUAUCCUUGCAUACUUCCUCAUCUGGCCUGGACCUUCCCAUGAAGGUGAGCAAUCUUUAUCUUUAUCUUUUUUCUUUGUUUUUUCUUUUGCAGAUAUUUAUACAUAUUCCACUGCUAUACUAGCUAUUUACAUAUAAAUCCCUGCAAAAUCUGAUUUUUCAUAUAAUUCCUUUAAAUUUUAAUUUCUUACACGUAUGCCCUUAUAUAUAUAUAUAUAUAUAUAUAUAUAUAUAUAUAGGCCCCUAAUUGACCCUUGAAGAAUUAGAGGCUUACCUGAAACAUUGUUUUCAGGUUGUUGAUAUGUUUGGAUGUGGGUUGCCAGUUUGUGCUUUUUCAUUCUCCUGGUAUGUCGUCGCAUGGAUUUGUAUUAUGAAAUUUUUAGUCGGUAUAACUAUUCUUUAUUAUGGUUUUUAAUAAUUGUCCAAGUCUUAUUUUUGUGUGUUCUGUAUAAGCAUCGAAGAACUUGUAAAAGUUGGGAAAAAUGGGCUUCUCUUCUCGUCACCUUCUGAGCUUGCUGAUGAAUUCUUGGUAAGCUUCUUACUGGCUCUUUGAUUCAUUUUCAUCUGGCAUAAAAAGUCAAGGGGCUUUUACAUCUAUAUGUUCCUGCAUAAUCAUCUUUUACGUAUAUAGGUACGAAGGUUUGUUUUGAAGGCAUUUGUUAAAAAAUCGGAUUUCGCAAGGAUUUCUUAAAUAGAUGAUUUUUGCAGAGGUAUAUGUGUAGGUACAUCAAAAGAAAAUAAUUAGACUGCAGUCUGUAAAUCGACUGUUAAGUUUCUCUUGUAAUCAGCCCUUGCAUAUCAUGAGUGGUGUAUAUACAAUUUGCCAUCUGUGUUUUUAUUUUAUAUUACUGAGUUGUUGGCAACUCUGCUUUUAUAUGGUUUGUCUUGUUGAUUUAAUGUAAAAGUUAUUGGGAAUGUAAUGCAGAUGCUUUUCAAGGGCUUUCCAGAAAAAUGUGAUGCCUUGAAAUCAUUGAGAGAUGGUGCCUUGGCUACAAGUUACUCCGGUAGAUGGUCUACUGAGUGGGAAACGCAUGCACUACCACUUAUAAACCAAGUAAAUAUAAUUCACAAUUUUAACAUGAUGAUGCAAUUUCUUAGAUUCAUAGCAUGGUUAGAUGCACUUUUCUGUACAAAUUUUUGAUCUUGCACGGUAUGCAGGAAUCACAAAUUGAACUUCAAAAAUUUUCUCUUUCCAGAGCAGCAUAAGAUGGGGCAAUUGUAUAUUGUGAGGAGUGAUGAUAUUCAUAAAGAGAGUACUUAAUUUAUAGGUGAAAUUGCAGUAAACCCUCCGUAUAAACAAAGCGAUUUUUGCUUUGUGCCCCUGAAAUAUUCAAAUCUAAAUAAUACUCCGAGCUACAAUAUUUCAUUUGGCUGCCUCAGUAUUUCAUCUGGUGGUAUUUCUCUCUUUUGCUUGUAGGUCAAUGGGGUAAAAUAUAGAAUAUAAAAUUUCAGGGAGUUAACAUUAUAUCAUGAUAUUUAUGGGGGCGUUUUCUGCAUUUUAAUUCUAAUUCAUGUCUUGGUUCUUCAAUAUUUCUUCCUCUGGGUUUCUCAAGAAAAGAGCUGCAUAUUUCAAUUCUACUUCUAAUAUAGUUCAUUUGUUUUCUAAACUAUCAUGAAAUCCUUAUCCUGUUCUCUUACCUUCAACUUUUCUUGCAGGUUAUUUCAAGGAAACACCAAUGACUACUUUCGAAAACUCGGAAAAUAUUCUGAAGAAGUUUAAUGGCCAUUUGAUGAUUCGAAGGGAAUUAAGAAGAUGCUUGAGCAAAUUAAGUUCUUUGCGCUCAAAUUGUAAGGUACAAGCUAAAAAGAUAUAAUAACUUGUGAGUUCUUUUAAGUUAUAAAUUAAAUGCGAUGGAGUUGUGAUGUUUUUUUUUUUUCCCGAAAAAAUGUGGUGUGUGAUUGAAAAUAUAAAGCGGUUUAUACAGUGAAAAUCGGUGAUGGAAUUGUGAAAAGAAUACAUGGUUCUGAGGUUAUUAGUUUGAGUUCAUAAAUUCAGCAUAUAUAUUUGAAAUUUGGUGAAUAUAUUAGAACACAAUUUUUCAUGGCUUGUUUGGAUGUAAGAGUCUGGUUUUAGCGUCGUGAGGAUUUACUGUGUGAUUGGAUGUAAGAGUGAUUUUAUUUUCUCAUGAAGUUUUAACUGCCAUAAUUUGUUAGGAUGUACAUUUUAACUUACAAUGGUGAUUUAUUUUUGCGGUUGGAUAUGCUAUGUCUUAUGUUUACAAAAAAUGGUUCGGAGGUAAUACGACGACAGUUUUUUGUUUAGACAUUUGAUCAUAAGAAUAUUUUGAUUAGUUUAUUAAAAAUUUAAAUCUAAUAUAUAAAAUUUUGAAAAAGUUAUAUUUUUGUGAAAAUACAAAUUCAGUAAACUUUUUAUGCAAAUUGGCUAUCUACAAGACUACAAUUUAUACAAGUUUACGAAAAAAAAAAUCGCGAAUUCUAGGAAAAUAAUAUCAAAUUUUGUCAGAAAAGAGAUACACAAUGCAACAUAUUAACAAUAUCGGAUAUCCAAAUCCGAAUCCAAGAUAAAAUCAUGAAACUGAAUUUCAAUCCGAAUGCGGAAAAAACCCAAACUAGAGUUGUAUGGUAAAACAUAUUGAGUUAGAUUUCCAUUUUAGGGAUAAUUGUCUAUAUACCCUUCAAAACUUCGAAAAUAUUUAAUUUAUUAUUAUUUUUUUUGGAUAUAUCUCUUAUAUAUUCUUCCGUUAUUCAAAAAUAUCUCUACAUUUAUCACAUUAAGUUAUCUCAGAUUAAACGUGAGUUAAAUAUUUAUCUACUAAAGUUAAAAAAAAAUCAAAAUAUCUCUUUUGCCCUUAACUUAAGGGCAAAUAAAAAAAAUCUGAUGAUGAUAGCUAGGUAUAUUUGAAAAGACUAAAAAUCAAAAUACUUAUUUUGUCCUUAAUUUAAGAGCAAAUAAGAAAAAUUGAUGAUGAUAGCAGGGUAUAUUAGAAAAGACUAAACAUCAAAAUACUUAUUUUGUCCCUAAUUUAAGGGCAAAUAAGAAAAUGGUGAUGGUGGAUCAGAAGGGUAUAUUUGAAAUGACAAAACAAUAGUUUCACAGAGAUAAGAGCUAUUACUAAUAGUUCGCUAACAGAAUUUAACACUAAGUACGCGGGAGUCCCAUUCUGAUUCCCGAGUGGAAUGGGAAUUCCCCACUCACCUUUUUUUUCAAUCAGGCCUAAUUGGCAAGAUUGAAAGUUGAAUCCGGACGGAAUGGAUAUUUAUUCGGAUUAAAUUUAUUUUUUCAACUUUUUUAAUUAAAAUAUGAGUUAAAAUUUAAAAAUUAAAUAUAUAAUUUUAAAUUUUAAUUUAAACCUAAAUUAAAAAUUAAAAUUUAAUCAAGUAUUUCGAAUCUAACUUAUGAAUUUGAAUUUAAAUUAAAUUUUAAUUUAUAUAAAGUUUUAUUCAAAUUUAUUUCAAACUUAAAUUAAAUUUAUGGAUUCAAAUUAAAAUUUAAAUUGUAAUUUUAAGUUUGAAUUUGAAUAAAUCAAAAUUUAGUUUCAUAUUUUGAAUUAUGCACUCAACUUCAAAGUUUAAUUUUUUUUAAAAAAAUAUAUUUAAAAUUUUGACAUUAUUUCAAAAUUUUGAUGUAAAUUUUUAAUAUUUAAUUUUUAAUUUGAAUUUAAAUUAAUAUAUUAUAAAGAUAAUGUUAGUAUAUUAAUUUGAUUACGUUUUUUAUAUCCACCUGAAUCAAAUGCCGACAAUGAGAAUGAUUUAUUUCGAUUCUGAUUCAGAUGAUAAACCAAACAGAAUUAGGUAAUGAGUCAUUCUGAUUCCGAUUUUAGCUUAUUUUGAUUCCGAUUCCGAUUCCGAUUCCGACUUCGAACUAAACAUGCCCUAAGUGUAUAUUUGAAAUAACUUGGAAUGUAAAAAAAAUAUUUUUAAUAUUAGCUUCUAAGAGGGGUAAAUCAGAAAGUUGAAAACUUUUCAGAAGUAUAUAAGUAUUUGCCUCUUAAUUUUAAAAUAGGUUAAAAUAUAGAAAAUUUUUCUACAUAUACUUUUCAUUUUUUCUACAUGACUUUGAAAACUUACAUUUUGUCCUCUCAAAAUUUUAAACCCUCUUAGAAAAUUUUUCUACAUAUACUUUUCAUUUUUUCUACAUGACUUUGAAAACUUACAUUUUGUCCUCUCAAAAUUUUAAACCCUCCACGAUUUCUUCAUUAUUCCAUCUACUUAUAAUAAUUUGUAAUUUACUAUACCGAAAAUAUUGGUGAAGAUCCCUUCUCCUCCUCUAUCGUUUACUGUUUCGUCUAUUUCUAAUAAUUUAUAAUUAUACCGAAAAUACUUUUGAAAAACCCUUGUUCUCCUCCAUCGUUUCUAUGUUGUCGUGCAUCUUGGCAUUGUAAAAUCUCUUUCACAUCUUCUUCUUCGCUCUCUUUUCAUCCACCGCUUUUUUUUUCUCUUUCUCCUCCCGUUUCGUACUCCUCCUCCUCCACCGGCCCAACAUCGCCGCGACACUCCUUCCCCCCAGCUCGCCCGCACUUCCGCCGACGUCGAACUACGGUGGCGCGAGUUCAGGUUAGAAAUGUCAAUGGAUACGAGUAACCGAUAGUUUAUAUGAAUAUGAAUUUAAAUAAUACAUAUUUAAUUAAUAUUGAACAUAUAUGAUUUUGAAUAUGGAUAAAAUUCGGAAUUCGAAUUUGAAUUUGUGUUUUGGAUUUGAUCGUCGGAUUCCGAUUAUUAAAAAAAUCGGCCUCAAAUUCGACCGUUGACGUUCCUAUCUUUCCAUCUCGGGCUUUUUUUGCAAAUAGCUCCCUUACAAAAUUUUUUUUUAAAUUUGGCCCUGUCAAAAAUUUAUUUGCAAAAAUGGCCCUGGCCCCGCCACGCAAGCGUCACAUCAGCGCCACGCGGGCCGGGCUGGGCCAGAUGGUUAAGUUGAACACGGUGAAUCAUUCACCGUGUUCAAUACAAAGUUUUUGUAUUGGACACGGUGAAUGAUUCAUCGUGUCCAAUACAAAAUAGCUAAAAUCGAAAUAUUUGUAUUGGACACGGUGAACCAUUCACCGUGUCCAAUACAAAUAAUUGGACACGGCGAAUGGUUCACCGUGUCUAAUACAAAUACCUCUAAUUUAGCCAUUGUUGGAGUAUUUGUAUUGGAUACGGUGAACCAUUCACCGUGUCCAAUACAAAAAUCUUGUAUUGAACACGGUGAAGGUUCACCGUGUUCAACUUAAACAUCUGGGCCCGCCCUGCCCGCGUGGCACUGAUGUGGCGCUGGCGUGGCAGGGACAGGGCCAUUUUUGUAAAUAAUUUUCGGACGGAACUAUUUUCGCAAAUAAAAUUUGUCAGGAAACUAUUUGCAAAAAAAACCCUUCCAUCUCUAAUCUUGAGGUACGAAGAAACCCACCUCUCUUCGAUCGUUGCCACGUAAACCACCCGGCGCGCCACGUGGCGAGCAGCGGCGCCCUUUCCCACGCCACAACCAUCCGAAGCACCGCUCAUUACUCUCUAUGCGUACGCGCCCGGUUUGCGGUGCAUGCUCCAAGAAGCCACGUGUACGGUGAUCUCACGCCUCGCAUAGGAAUUAAUAUAGGGACGUCUCUCCCUUUGGUUUCACAGUUCUUCGUUGAAAUUGGGCUGUAAAAUGUGAAAGAAACGUGAAGGGAUUUCGAUAGCAACGUCUCUUAGAGGUAAAUUUUUAUUCAUUUUUCCUAAAUUUAAAUUUUAAAUUUUUCCUAAAUUUAAAUUUAUUCAUUUUUCCUAAAUUUAAAUUUUAAAUUUUAAUUAUCUAGUUGUUUUAUUACUCUAUAUUAACUUUAGUGAAAUUUUUAACUUUAGGAAAAAAAAAAAAGAAAGAAAGAAGAAUCCCUACGAUAAUUUUCUAAAUGUAAGUCUUUUUUUGGGGGAAAAAAGAAAAUCAGUGGCUCCAAUUUGUAGUUCGUUACAUUUGUAAUCGCAUAACUAGGAAUUAACUACGAAUUAUUCCAAUUAUUUAGUAAAAUUUUUUCAAGGUAUGUUUCAAAUUUGGAGAGAAGUGAUUAUUGAAUUAGGGUUUUGAUCAUGCAAUUGCAUGAUAUAGUGCAUUAAUUAGGGUUUUGCUAAUUGUAUACACAAAAGAUUAUUGAUCUAGCAAUUUAUGAUAUACUUGUGAGAUAUCUCUUAUGAUUACAAUUGAAUUUAUGCACAAGUUUUGUGGAAUAAUUGAGACAGUGUGAUUUUUGUCGAAUGGCAUUCAAUCGGAUAUCGAGUUUUCAAGGAAUUUACAAGAAUCUGCACUCGCCGGCAGUGAUUAUCGGCGCAGUUUUCGCCCUAAUUGCUAUUUUCUUAUCUGUUUUGCUGAUACUGCAACAUCUGAGGCAUUACAGUAAUCCUGCGGUAAGUUCUUUAUUAAUUGGUUUCAUUUCAUUUACAAUUUUUUCUGAAUCACUCAAAAGUGAAAAAAAAAAAUAAAAAAAUUGAGGCCUGUUUGGUCUAGCUCGAGCUUUUGCAGAAGUGUUGUUUGAGUAGAGCUGGUUGACGAAGCUCUGACAGCUUUUCCGUCGAAGCUGAGAUAACAUCCGAAAGUUCGGAUAGCAUGAUUCCAUCAUACCCCAUUGAAUUGGCAUUUCCGGAAAUUAACUUCUUUUGGGGAUAUAUUUUUCCCUCUCAAUUCCAAGUGGGGUACGGUGACAUUUCCAUUGUGUUUCCGGGAAAACAAAAGAAAGAAAAUUCAAUUCAUGGAUGCAAAUUUUUGCUACAAAAUGUUUUUGAAUAUUUAAACGAAUCAAUUUCCCACCACCCCUCAGGAACAAAAAUGGAUCAUUGGAGUGCUGUUCAUGGUUCCUGUUUAUGCUGCCGAGUCUGUAAGUACUCGCUAGCCAAUUUUUUUGAAAGAUUUCUAAUUUGUCGGUAAUUAUUGCAGAGGAAAAGAAAAUCUAGAUUUUAUGUUCAGCAGUUGGUAUAAUAUAUUGUGUGACUUGAUAAAUUUGUGGAGUAAUUUAACUGAAACCCACAAGGAAAAGAGAAAACAAGUAAGAAGUAGAAACGUUUUCCACAACGCACACACAGUAAAGCGUAGAAGAUCAGUUCUGUUGUAUAAACAAUAUAUGCUAGUAGACUUUUUUUCUUUCUGAAGUAUUUAUGAAAUAUUUGCAACUUCACAUUGAUUUAACUUAAUUAUCAUCAUAUUCUUAUAAAGAUAAUUCAUCUCAAGUGCAAAGUUACUAAAAGAACGCUAUAUAGGCAAUUGGGAAUAUUUGAUGGCAAAUGUUCCACCAUCUGUUACGUGGUAUGUGUUAUAGAUGGUAGUACAAUGUAAUAAUGCUACAAUAAAUGUUUACAUGUCUCACCUUUUAAAUCCAUUUUCUUCUUCUGAUACUAACUAUCUAGUAAACAUAUUCCCUUCUUUAGGUAAUUUCACUGUGGCAAUCAAGAUUCUCUAUCAUCUGUGAAAUCUUAAGAAAUUGUUACGAAGCGUUUGCAUUGUAUUGCUUUGGACGCUACUUGGUUGCCUGUGUUGGUAAGCAAAUUUUCUUUUUACCUGACAUCCAAAUUUUCUUUUAAAUGAAAAGUUCAAGAACCAAGCGCAAUAUCAGGAUAGUAUGUGGACUACCCACACGCAUUUUAACCAUUAUUAUUAUUUGUUUUUUUGGGGACUUAGUUAUCCUUAAAUUCACUGUUAAAGACUUUCUAGUAUAACAAACUAGUCAAUAUCUCUAGGUGGUGAAAGAAGAGUUGUAGAACUGCUAGAAGCUGCAGCAGAGAAACAGCUGAAUGAACAACUGCUCGAAGAGGGAGGAACAAGACAGAAACAUCCACGGAGGCGAUUUCGUGAUUUCUUUUGCCAUCCGACCUUGCUAGGAAAAGACUUGUAUACAAUUAUAAAAUUCGGCAUUGUACAAUAUGUAAGUGUAUUGCCUUCUGCAAAGUCUACUAUUGGGAUGGAUGAAUGGCACUAUCGGCUCCCGAACUUUUUUCAGAAGUUUUUACUUAGGCCCCUAACCCAUAAAAAUAGGCAUGGCAUACACACAACUUUUAUAAGUGGUCCAUCUAGGCCCUUGCUGUCAGCUUUCAUUAACGGCACUGGUAGUGCUGCUGACAUCGAUGCCAAGUACGCUCUGUUGGCAAAAAGUUUAGCGCUGAAGGCCCUCUCUUCCAUAGUUCAACCCUUUCAAUGAGGAGAAACAUCCCAUAUUAUUAUUGCCUUUGCUAUCUAAUUUGAGUUUUUUCCUAAGCCACUGUGGCUUCCAUCCUAGCAUAUCCAGUGCCAAUGUCAGUAGGGCAUCAAUCUCGUUUAACGAGAGAUGAUGGAAAUGGCUGGGAUGUAUCUUUUAUUAAAAUUCAAGGUGCUUAACCAAAAAUGAACUUCCAAAAAAGUUCAGAAGCCAACUGUGCGACUCAUUCAUUCUGUGAUAGUACUAUUUCUGAGUUCUUCAAGAUAUUUAGAUGAUUCUCAAGACAGUAUGCGCCUUCUUAGCAUUGUUGUUGGAACUUGUCGGAGUUUAUGGAGACGGGGAGUUCAAGUGGUACUAUGGGUAAGUCUUACCCAUGCUCCUUGAGGCUGCUCUUGCUUAACAGUUAAUAGUAUUUGUUCGGUUUUGCAUAUUCCUUCCCUCAAGUACAUGUAUGUAUACAUAUACGCCUCGAAGUGUACAAUUUGUCAUCUAUGGAAACCAAUCUCAAAAUGUAAUUACUUCAUAUCAUAUCUUUUCUUAGUACCCCAACAGGUGAAUCUUAACCAUCUUGUUCCAUUUCAAUGUGUGUCAACCUCAUGCAUCUUCAUUCUUUUUAAGUUAGAGAUCAGAGGAUCCAAGUGACUUGCUCAUCCAUCUCUAUAUAUAUAUUCACUAAAAUUGCAUUUGAUACUUGUGCUUGUUUCAGGAACUUCUUUAGAAUUUCUUGUCCCAGAAACUUUAUUUCCAACGUGUCAAUUAAUUUGGAUCACCAGAAAAUUCCAUGAGCCAUCUGCCAUCGCCUUGGAAAAAUCUAAACAGCUAAUAAUUAAAAUAUCAAAAUCCAGUUCGACCUCAUUGUUAUAUUUACGUCCUUGAUUGCAUCCACAAGGUUAUCAGUCGGUUCUUUCUUCUCUAGCAUCGGCACCAGUAAUUCUUCCAUCAGCCUUUGUUAAAUUGAUAAGUACCAUAUAUGCCACUUUUCACAUCCGACUUCUUCGACUUCAGUAAGUACUCCAAAAAUUUAUCUUUAGAGCAUGCAAAUAUAAAUACAUGUAUACCGAGAGAAAUAUUUAAAGACCCCUUGUUAAUAAGGCCCUAUUUUAUACAAAUUCAGUGUAUUUCAGGGAUAUUAUGUUCCCCUACGAAUAUCUCAACUAUUUCGUAAGAGCUAUAAGUGGUUCUCUGCCUUUUUAUUAUUUCAGGAUGUUUACUAUUCCUUGUAUUUAUUUCGUUCAAGUAUAAUUUGUAUUAUCCAUUUUAGGUACCCUUAUAUUGCUGUGGUGAUAAAUUUUAGCCAGAUGUGGGCUUUGUUCUGCCUAGUGCAAUUCUACGAUGUGACUCACGAGCGCCUGCAACCGAUCAGACCAUUGGAGAAAUUCAUAAGCUUCAAGGCCAUUGUGUUUGCUACUUGGUGGCAAGGUGUCGGCAUUGCGAUCAUUUGCUACUUUGGCGUCCUACCUAAGGAGGGAAAGAUCCAAAAUGGGAUUCAGGAUUUCCUUAUUUGCAUCGAAGUAAGUUCUUUGUUGGUCUGAAAACAAUUUUUUGUACCUUGUAGAUAAUUAUUUGAAUACAUUUUCGCGCUUAUCACUUUUGGCUUUGUAAAAGGUUCUACACCUUUUGUAACAGAUGGCUGUUGCAGCUGUAGCCCAUGUCCAUGUUUUCUCGGCAGGACCAUAUCGCUAUCUCCCGAUCUCAGAGUAUGGGAAGGUAACUUCCCAGGAAAUUAAAACUGACGUGACGGUUAAAGCUGAAGACGACAAGGAAAACCAGGCUAUUGUUGAGCAGAAAAAGACUCGCAUGGAAGCGCCCGGGACGAGUAUCACUGAGAGCGUCCACGAUGUUUUUAUUGGCGGUGGUGGACAUGUAAGACCUCUCUCUCUCUCUCUUUCUCUCUCUCAUGCAUGCGCGCACACAUGCUACUGUAAAGUAUGCUCUUCAUAAGCUUAAUUUCUUGCAUAUAUAUGCUUCUACCGAUGAAAAUAACGUUCCCCUUGGUGAAAAGACUUGUAUAGAUACAGCUUACAUGGAAGGAUAUUUUAUGAGAUAUUGCACUUCUGGGGGGUAUACAUAAAAAGGGGUGUAUAUACAAAUAGAUUAUGUUGCAAAGCUUGUAGAGCGAAAUGGGCGUGGAGACGCCAAAGCUCAUUUCAAGUUUGGUAAUUAAGUAUCACGAUAUUUGUGUUACAAGCAUGAUAAAGGCCAAUAUGUAGAAGUCCACUUUUCCUUUUUUUUAGUCUAAUUAAUUGUAAGGUGAAAAUGUAUCGAAACACCCUAGGCCACGUAGAAUAAACCUUGAAUGUUUUCUUUUUCCUUUGAUUGACACCUUACCUACUUUGUUUUUUUGAAAAAAAAAAAACUGAGUUAUUUGAGUUAAUUGAGAUGGCGAUUUCGUUAAAUCAGUUGGCGAUGUCGUUAAAUCAGUUAGCUAUUCCAUUAAAUUUCUUGGCUCUAACUACUUUUUAGCUGAAGAUGAUUUGGAUUUCAUUAACAAACUUUCACCCGAAUUAGAACAAAUGAAAAUCAUGGGUGUCAAUUCAGAAAAAUAAAGUUCAGAAUCCCGUUGCGAAAUGGCCUAUUGUUGAGGGGAUGACCAUACAUUUUACCCAACUACAGUUGUUUUCGCAAGACGCCCUACGGUAAAUGAAGUAGAAACAUGACGGUGGAAAGUUUUUUCUUUUUUGUAAAUAUUCGCAUUUUUUCCAUAAAGCAUUGAAUCUCUAUAUUUGCCGGGCUUUUGGAAUUAGCUUCCUUACUCAAAAACCAAAAGCUAGUUGUUUGACAAACCAAUGAGUUUUCCUGCUUUAGGAAGCUGAAACGAGCUUCUGAGCACCAAAAGCUUCAAUUUGAUUAUUAGUUUAGAAAAAAUCUAAAUUGAAACGCUAUUAGGGCUUCUUUAAACAGCUCUACUCUACUGAAAGCUCGUUUUCAUUUUGUGCUAGGUGGUGAAGGAUGUAGCAUUUACCAAAAGCUGAAACGAACUUCUGAGCACCAAAAGCUUCAUUUUGAUUAUGAAUUAAGAAAAAAUCUAAAUUAAAAUGCUAUUAGGGCUUCUAUAAAUAGCUCUACUGAAAGCACUUUUUCAUUUUGUGCUAGGUGGUGAAGGAUGUAGCAUUUACCAUAUCACAGGCAAUAGAACCUGUAGAGAAGGGCGUAAACAAGAUACAGGAAACCUUUCAUCACAUUUCCUUGGGGCCCGAAAAUGAGAAAGAGCCCAAAAUUGAGUUUGAUGAGCACAUUACGGAGAAUGUUGUGGACGGUAAAUGUAGUAUGGUCAGUUCCGAUACAAGAGUUGAAGCUGAAAAUUUGAGGAGAUGAUAAGCGCUGCUGAGCCUUCUCUUCUGGGAGACUUUGCGCAGAUUUGAAGACAAAAGGAGAAAAGAAUAAAUGCUCGGCGCGCAGACUUUGACUAGACCUUUAUGCUGAUAUAAUAUAUUAGAGUAUAUAUGAGUGCAAUGUAAAAAUGUAGCACGGAUAACUGUUAAGUAAUUUUGCAUUAUUUUCUUUGUUCUUAUUUGCUGUUGUGGUAGCCAGAUUUUGUUUGGCGUGUUAUAUGUCCAAGUUUUUUUUUGCUUAAUCUGAUAAAGCAAUUAGAACAGGAUAGGGGAAUUAUGUGAUUCUGUAUAUAUUUCGCUUGUGUGACUAUAGAAUGUUAAUCGGGGCCUGCGGUGUUGGAUCGAUUCAUGUGUUGUUCUUGUUUGAUUCGAUUAGUUGCAUAGAGUGUUUCUUGAUCGAACGAACUAAGGAUUCAAGUGAAUGGCACAAUCUUCUCGUAAUGCAUCUGCGCCAAUUGAUGCAUUAAAUAGUAAUAAUGACAGAUCAAGCUCGUUUUCUUCACAAACAAAUCUGUGCGAUUGCGUGUAUCAGAAGCUGAACAUUUCUGGACCUCUCUAUUAAUAUCAGAAAACAGAAUUUACUUCUUAUAUCAGAUGGGUUAAUAAACUACCGAUUACAAAGACAUUAUAGUUCCUUGUGAGAGUUCAUUUGACCACCCCUAAACAAAGAUAAGAUAUAUGUGGUUAAAGCAAAAUAAAAACAAGGAAAUAGAAGCAUAUACAAGGCUCUAGUUGUCUUAAUUUACGAACAACAAAAGGGCAAUUUCUCCAGCUAACUAUAAAGAACAAAAACACAAAAUUACUAUUCAGAGAGCCGCUGCAGAACUUGGCUCGUCGCAUAAACGCACUCCUCAUUGACCAAACGCAAUGCAAUCUGCAAACUUAUUAACAAAACUUAAGAGAGAGAGAGAGAGAGACAGAGAGAGGAAGAGACGCAAUCACAAACUUGCGAGAGAGAGAGAGAGAGAGAGAGAGAGAGAGAGAGAGAGAGAGAGAGAGAGAUGCAAUCCACAGACUUACAAAUACNACAAAUACGCGGGCGUGUGCACAGAGGCAGGCGGAUUUCUGCAAAAUGUAUAUCGCCACUAUGAAAGAACAGCAUGCGGAAUUCCGCGGGAUGUUACAAAAUGUAAUAUACUAAUACAGGAGACUACUACCUGUUAAAUCUUCCUCCUCCCCUCAAUAUACACAAAAAAUACAAACUAUAUUCCAAAGUUCCAAAGUGUGCUACCUAACUUUUCCACAUUUUCCUUCCCCCUCUUCUUUCAUUUUUUUUUCUUUUUUUGGUGUCGUAAAUCCCUUCGAUGGAUUGUUAAUACAUCACCACACGUAGAACACCCGGUUGCACAGGUGUGUGGUGAAGCCCGUGCUCGGAGAGGCACUGCUCCACGGCCGCAGAGAGGGCGCGACCCCCUGCUGCCGAUCCAACCAAUAUCAUCACCUCCAGCUUCCUGGGGGCUAAUCGUGCGGCUCUCUUGAGGUUUCUGAGCUCGUGGUUCAGGGCGUGGAUUGCUUCGCCUGCAUGAAGGCCGCGGAGAUCGAUGAAGGGAUCCGAUGGUUCCUCCACGCUCUUGCUGUAGACGUGCAGGUCGGGCAAGAGCAGGUUCCUACGAAAUAUAGAACAAGCAUGCAUUCACUUAAGAAUUGAUGCUUCGCAUGGCCUUGGAAUGUACCAUAGAAUGUUGUUCAUGGGUUCGAUUUGGACAGGUGUCACGUAUGGAGUAAUUUAGUUUUUGAAUUUUGGAGACAGCACAUGAUGCGGAUGUCACCUCCAAAAAGCUAAAUCACUCCCUAAUUGCAACAUACGCGAAGUCAACUAAUAAACAACACUCUAGGUACAUUCUAAAGUACUCGUAGCAUCACUCUUCGGUUGAGUAAUCAACUUGAGUUCCUAACACAGAAUUAUCAAAAAUCCAGUAUCAAUGUACGCAAACGCGCACGAGAGAGAGAGAGAGAGAGAGAGAGGCCACUUUAAGAAUCCAGAUGGAUGCCCAAGAAAAAGCAAAUAUGCAAACACAAAUAAUAUGCCUUGUUAUUUGCGCAAACUUUGACAAGACACAUGUUUAUGUGUGUUAUCAAUUCAUAACCAACAGUGUAAAAGACCAAGUGGGUGAAGUGGAUAGAUGAACUAUGCUAUCAUUGUUGGAAAAAAUCAAUAUUUUUCAGAAUAUGUUAGUAAUUACUCAGAAGGAAGUCUUGAAUUCUUCAGUAUCACUUCAAAAAGGUAAGCGCAUGAUCUCUCUCUCUCUCUCUCUCUCUCUCUCUCACACACACACACACACACACACACACACAGAGAAAGAGAGCAAACCAUGUGAUUGGUAGGAAAAUACAGAAAUUAUAUUUUCCAGGAGCAAGUCAAUAAGAUCCGACAUACAUACACGUGGUAAAUGAAGAUAAGCAAACAAAAAUGACUCACCUUUGCCAUGUAGUUGCUUCUCUAGCUUUAUCAUGAGUUGCUUUCAUUUGAAGAUUGUACAACUGGUCCUUCAGAUUCAGUUCUUUGGCCAAUGCUUUGUUGCCAAUCAAAUACGCCUGCCUCGCCUGUCAACAAUAUUGCUUCAAAUAAAUUCUUUAAAAGAAAUUUGAUUAUCUCUAUUCAAUUUCUUCAUAUAUCAUCAGUUACAUUUCCAAUUAUAAAUUCAUUUCCCUACGAAAUAUCGCAUAGGUUUUUUCCCCCUGAAAGAAAUGCAUUUAUUAGGUCAUUACACUCGGACGAUCCUUUGUACCUGCUCAGUAGAUGCAUUUCGAAGGUGUGAGAAAUCACGGGCGUCCUCCCUUGAUUCUAAGUACAGGUUUGCUGCUAAACUCAAAACCAACAGUGAACAUAAGUCGUAGCUGAAAAACAGCGCUCUUUUACAUACAUAUCCCUACAUACAAACCCUUGUAAAAUCUAAACUUCCAUUCAUAUACCUGAGAGUGCAGAUUAUUAGCCGGAAAAAAAAAAAUACACCUUUAUCUUAAGUUGGGUACUCAGUUGAUUUCAUUCAGUUCUGUCAUGUAACUUUUACCUACGUAUUUUUUAUUAAUACAAGGUUAUAAUAUAAAACAAUUUCUUACAGGGCAUAUAUGAAAAUUAAGAUUUUAUUACACACUUAUAACUACAUAAAUUUUCAAGGGCAUAAUGCAUAUUUCUAAAUAAAGAACAGGUUGAUAUUAAAUUAAUGAAACUGGUGUUUCAAGGGUAUGAUCCACUGCUUCUUUAGCUUGAGCUACAAAGAAGGCACCUGAGUUUGCUGAAGUUUUGUCAUUUAUCACCAGAAACUAUCUUACCAUUACCGCCAUAUGUGCUAGCCAAAAGCUGAGAGCUUCUACUCGAGCCGACACCAUUAUCAUUUGAACCAUCUCUCUUAUACCUCCAUUGAGUAGCCCGUGGAGAUGCCAAUUCUCCCAAGGACGAAACCAAAUUAAAAUCACCUCUUGUUAUAUUUGGAGAUUUAUAUGUAACAUCUUCUUUACUGUACUUCGCGAGACCAUGUUGGGUAUUUGUCAUUGCAAGUGCAGGAAAAUCCGGCAUGCCAAGGCUUGGAGAUGCAAAGGACUUCGAUUGCGGGCUCUGAACAAAAGUGCCACCAACUUGAUUCUGCUAUUAUUGUUAAAAUAAUGUAAUUAUUAUUCAUUUAAUACAAUUAGAAGACAUUUAUAAUGCGAUGAUGUAAACAAGACAACAAAGAAUUUACAUUCUGUAAUCAGGAAAAAAGGAAAUUCUCUAGAAGAAACCAAAUGCAAUCUAUCAAACUCUUGAAAAGAAAUGUUAAAUGAGAAACAGGUGAUGUGCUUCGUAACAAUUUUAUUCCCUAUUUUUGUAAUAGUUCAAGUUGGAAGUCAGACUAACCUUGACAUUCUUUUCUAAUCUAAAUAUGUAGAAAUUUUACCAUUUGUCAAUUUAACUAUAAAAGAAUUCUUGCUAUGAAUGAGGGCUGAUUGGCCGUACGAAAAUGAGUCAUCACUUUAGCAACUAUAAAUCGAGCCAAUAACCAAAAAAAAAAAAAAAAAAAAAAAAAAAAAAAAAAAAAAAAAAAAAAAAAAAAAAAAAAAAAAAAAAAAAAAAAAAAAAAAAAAAAAAAAAAAAAAAAAAAAAAAAAAAAAAAAAAAAAAAAAAAAAAAAAAAAAAAAAAAAAAAAAAAAAAAAAAAAAAAAAAAAAAAAAAAAAAAAAAAAAAAAAAAAAAAAAAAAAAAAAAAAAAAAAAAAAAAAAAAAAAAAAAAAAAAAAAAAAAAAAAAAAAAAAAAAAAAAAAAAAAAAAAAAAAAANUUGUUUUUUUUUUUUUUUUUUUUUGGAGAGAAAAAGGUAGCAUGUCACCUGCUUCCUUCAUUUUCUUUUUAGAAAUAAACUUAGCUGAAAAUGUUAAGCAACUAGGCUCCGAACUUAAGGCCUCGGGUACUAACCAUCAAGCACUUUGCCACCCACACUAGGGACGGUUGGUAACUGCAUGAUUCUUGUAAUAACACUUUGCAUGGGAAAACAAAAGAUUGCACAUACCAGCUGGCAAACUCCACAUAAUUUGAGCUUUCUAUGUGCGUUUGUCCAAUUCAUGCUAAACAUAAACAAAUUCUGUACACACCCUUAACUGUUUUAGUCAAACUACAUUUAGUAUUUGUUCAUAAAGUGCAGGACACAAGUUAGAUUACGACAUGUUUGGAAAAAUAACCACAUUUUAAUGUAUCAGACAUUCAAUAGACAAAUACUGCAAUACGCGCAACAACUCAGAUAGAACAGAAUAUACCUCCAAAUAGGAAAGAACUCCUACAGUUAUUCUCAAAUCACGUCCAUUUUUGUAAUAAACAUCUGCAAUGCUCUGAACGGGAAAACCAGGAAACUUUGAUGACAAAAACUUUAGUGGAUUGAUAGCAGCGUCCUCAACAAGUGAACUUCCACCUAUCAAGUCAUUUACAGAAUCAGCUACAGAGUCUCCAUUAUAAUGAUUCACCUUUGUUCCAUUCAUGCUAUGCAGUCCACCAUUUUUUAAUGGUUCGUCCCAGUUCAUCAUAGAUGCUGACAAUUGCUCUUCUCCAUAGGUAGAUUGAGAAAAUCCGAUCUUAUCCCUAAAGCUGAGAUUGUCAUUAAGAAAAGUCAAUGCUUUGUCAGCAGUGGAAAGCAAGUGAUUUGAUGCAUUAGUGCCUUCAUGUAUUGACAAUCCUUUCAGUGAAAGAUUCCCCUUUCCAUCUGACUCUUCCACCAUAAUUCUGAAGUCUGGAGUAAUGUCAUCAGGGAGUUGAAAUGUUUCAGAACCAUUUGAGAUACUGGACUCCGAUCGAUCUACGAUUGCUUUCUUUGAAGUUGCUAGAAAAUCAAAUUUGGUUGCACUUGGGCUUUUGGCAUUUCCUUGGGUAGAUCUAAGAGACGAAGGAACAAACUCUGCUGCAUUCGGAUUCAAUUUAGUAGCUUUGCUAGGUAAAUCUAACUUUAACUCCUUGUUAGGAGCGCUGUUGACAGAUAGAUUCAUAUUUAUCUUACGUAAAAUGACGUUUGCUACACACAAUGCCUUCCAGCAAAAAGAACAUUGUAGAGAGGAUAUUCACCCCAAUCCUGCAAACCAUAUCCAUAGAAUGUAAAACAAAUUAGAGCUUGAAAACUAAUGGGAGGUACAACAAACUCCAGAAGUACAAACUGUUCUUCGCAUGACCUUUUGAAGUGACCUGUAUCUCUACAACUUCCCUUCUACAACUUCCCUUCUCGUAAAAAAUGACACAGUAUGAAAAAUGAGGUGAUAUAGGACAUGCAAAUAUAGUAGGAAAAGAGGAGAGGAAACACAGUUUGUCCUGCUUUCUCUUCUUCAUAUUAGUUGAUAAAGGCGCUCCAAGAUAAGUGUUGUUUGACUGCUCUUUGAGAAGCCUCAACCAAAACUUUAAAUUAAAAUUGGAGCUUCCACAUUUGGGGUGUACAAGAGUUCGGACUUUUUCUUCUCAUGGAGAGAAACAGUUUUAGAAGCUAAGUAAAACAGCAUUUUGUACUAGCAACAGAAAUGUCGUUUUGUCACAAGAAGUGGUAUUAUUCCAGCCUAGUUUCCAUUUUCUAACAAUUACAAAAUAUUUUAGCAACUCAGACCGAACAUAAAUGUUGAAAUGCAAUUACAUGCCCAAUUGUUGUCAGUGUCAAGCUCAUGCGCAUGUUUUGGCUUUAGGGAUUACCAAGCUUUUAUUUUCAUUUCUUCCUACGGCCCAUCACUCAACAUAUAUGACCACGUUUAAACUAAGACAAUAGAGGUAAUCAUGCUCAAAUAGUUCUCCCACAACUGGCUCAACUGCCAACUUCAUUUGACAACAAUGAAAUUAACUUCCUUCAUAUAUAUUGAUAAAAGAAGAAUAAAAAAGUACAUCAAUCCUAUACCGAUCAAACAAAAUACUUUUUGCCCAGGUAUCUCUGCAUGUACGAUGAUAAUGACCACUAGAGAUUCCUAAUUGGUAGCACAGAGUGCAACUAACAAGAGACAUAAUUCGGCAACCAAAAUCAAGAAUUCACUAGUUUUUUCUUUUUCUCAAAUCACAUCCUAAUACUCUAUAGCUGUUCUCGUAUUCUGCUUUCAAAGCAAUCAUUCGAAGUAUCUCCCAAUAAUCAAACUACAAAUUGCAACGAGAUGACCGAGUAGAACUACUCAAAAACACUGAAACCCUUGCCGAUACAAGGAACAAAUCUCAUUUCACCACUUAUUUUAUUUACUUCUGAUUAUCCUGUGUCCACAGAUAUCAAAAAAAAAAGAAGAAAAAAAAGGCAUCUACUUCAUCAGAUCUACACAUUGAACAACCAUAAACACGUAAAAAGGAUGAGAACGCAAGAUUCUACAAAAAAGAAAAGAAAAUCCCCAAAUUCACCUAUCAAAACCCCCAAAAACGGGGGGAAAUCACAAGAUCCGGAGAGAGAAGCAACGGGAUUCGAAGAUCCGAACCUUUCCGGAGAUCGAUAAGAGCGUAGAUGGAGGAGACCCGAUCCAUACAGCGGGAGAGAGCGCGAUAGAAAGGGGAAUCGGAGCACCUCUCCUUCGCCUCCUCCGAUCGUCUCCCACUCCUCCCGCUUCCAAAGACCGAGAGAUCAAACCCUAAUCGCUUCCUCCACGAUCGCUUCGGCGAUCACGAAGACGACGAUGAGGAGCUCCAUAGAGAUAGAGAGAGAGAGAGAGAGAAGUAGAAGAAGAAGAAGAUCUCAACCCCCUCUUCGCCUCUCCUCUCCUCUCGAUUGCGAUCACCUUUGUCUCUCUCUCUCUCCUCUCUCUCUCUCUCUCUUCUUUCUCUCUCCUCUCUCUCUCUAUCUCUUCUUUCUCUCUCUACUUCUUGGUUGACCCUUGGCCUUAUAUAAUUGGCUAGUUGAUCGGACACACAACGCGCAUCCACCGUCCGAUCAAACUGGCGGGGCGAAUCCCACCGUCCGUACGUCGGGUGCACAAAAAGAGGUAUAUAUGUUUUUUAUUUUUCCGUACGGAUACGUGCGAUUUAAGCGGACGAGAUGGAGUGGGGAGGGUGUCGUGGACGGUGGAUUUGUAGUUGCGCAUGAUACUUUUAUGCGGUCCCUGUUGGAGUUAGAAAAAACUUUGGCUCGACAUGGUGUACCACGCCAUCUCCUGCACCGUCACGCAACAAAUAAUCUGAACUCUGCAGUGUAUAUUUAUGUAAAGGUCCCAAACAUUUUAGAUAUUUUUACAAGAGUUCGUAAUUAUUUUAUCUUUUGAUAUCUUGGUAAGCAUCUUUCUAAGAAAUUUCAAAAAUAUAAUAUCAACAUUUUUAAAUUUAUUCUUUUUUUAUUUACUGAUUACUUUGCAAGCACCAUAUACAUUUUGUUUUUUACUAUAAUUUCAUUCUUUCUUGCCUAAUAAAUUUUGAUGAAUUUAAUAUACGUAUCAAAUUCAAAAGACAAAAACUUACUAAUAAAAUAUUUUAAAAUUCUAUUAAAUGAUGUUCAAAUUAGAUUUUCAUGGUUGGUUAGCUUGCAAUGUAUUCUCAUCAAGUAAUCUAUGGCAAUUUUUUUUCAAAAAAAAUACUAAAAGCAAAAAAAUAUUAUUUCUGAGUUCGUAUAUCUUGUUAUCAAACAAAUACUUUAUAAAUGUUUAAGAAUUAUAAAUAAUUUUGUAUUUUCUUUUAUAUUAUAUAAAAUUUUUACUGACGCCUACACAGCUUUAAAAAAAGAGAAAAAACAAUGAAGCCAAACAAACCCUUAAUUAUUAGAAUAUGAAAAAAAAAAAAGAAAUUAAUUUUGCAAUUAUCUUUAAGAUAUAAUUACCUAUAUAUCCCUCAAAACUUCUAAAAUAUUUUAUAUACCCCUACAUUCUUUUUGUUUCAAAUAUACUCCUCGUAUAUUUCUAUAUUAUUCAAAAAUAACUCCGCUGUUAGUAUCCGUUAAGUUAUCUUCGGUUAAAUCUGAGAUAAAAUUAUUAUCAGAAUUAAAAAUAAGUCAAAAUAUCUUUUUUGACCCUAACUCAAGGAUAAAUAAGAAAAAUUAGUGAUGGUAUAAUAUAUAUUUGAACGGGUAAAAGGUCAAAAUAUUUUUUUAGUCUCUAACUUAAAGAUAAUAUAAAAAAUUGGUAACUAUAGAAGAGUAUAUUUAAAAGAGCAAAAUAGUAAUUUUAUAAAAAUUAAGGUUAUUUCUAAUAUAGUUAACUAAUAGAAUCUAACUUAGAAGUAUCUUUGAAAGAAUUUAGAAUGUUGAAAAAAAUACUUCUUAUAUUAAUCUUCUAAACAGGAAAAUUUUUCAGAGAUAUAUAAGCAAUUGUUCUUAUUUUAAAAGCCAAUGAUCCAUACAUAAAUUUUCGGAUAAACUUCAAAUACCACCCUAUGAUUUCGCAUUUUCUCACUUUAGUACCCUAUAAUUUAAAGUGUAUCAAUUUAGUACCCUAUGAUUUUAUUUUUCUCUUUUCGUCAGUGUUAAAUCACAUGCAAAAAAAUUCAGAUACUCCACCUAUAGUUUAUUGAAUAUUUAUUUUAAUAUCAUUUAGUUUUAAUAUUGUUAUUGAUUUAACGAAAAAAUUUAAUGGAGAGAUAACAAAAAGAGAAAAAUAAAAUUAUAGAGUGUAUGAGAGUGAUACACUUUAAAUUAUAAAAUACUACAGUGAGAAAGUGUGAACUGCAGAGGUGGUAUUUAAAGCUUUUUCCUCAAUUUUCCAAUA
rnacentral:lncRNA from 1 species